GCUGUUGAAAUCCUCAGUCUGCCCAGCUGUAUGACUAAGGCUGCUGAGGACAUCCAGGUUUUUCGAGUUCCUAGAAAAGACCAAGGCCGCGCCAGCUUACGCUAACCCCAUGGAGGCCAAACUCUUGUGAGAAGGCGUUUGCCGAGGACACUCAGAACUCACACUCCCUUGCCUCCGCAGUUCAUCUUGGUGACGCCGUCAGUGUCACGGGUCAGUGAGGGAACUGGUGGCUGUAGCCAGCUGGAAGUCUGGGAGAUGUCGAAGAAGCGUACCGUACACCUCAGCAUACUUGGCUCCCAUCUCUGAUGUGUGGAGCUUCCUUCUGUAGGAGCAGAGACUGGUGUCUGAGACAGAAGUCCUGAGGUCAGGCAGCAAAUCAUCAGAGCUGGAGUUUCAUUCACAGGGUGGUGGCUCACAACAGGUGGCUUUAGUUUGUACUCACUGUGGGUCAGUCUUGUGCCAGGUACCAAGGUGAUCAAGGCAGGUAGGAUCUUUGUCCUUAGGAAGCUCAUAGUCUGGCAGGAGAGAGAGAGGCAGACAUCAAAGAACUUUCCAGAAGUAAAGUUUGGGAUUGAGAAAAUGGCAUCCAAGUUGAGUCUCAAAGCAGCAAGAGAGGGCAGUUAGGGGAAAGUGGGGAGGAAUGACGGAAAAGUUCUCAGUUAGCAGCUAUAAUGUGCUCAAAUGCCCAAGGGCUGGCAGUGGUGUAAGCUGCCCUGGGUGAGACCACCAGCUUCGUAGGCAAGCUCGAUUGAAUACCAGCAGUUUCAAACAUUUCAAACCAACAUUGGAAACCUCCAGAAAGUCCAAGUGUGAGCACGGUGGUGUGGGCAAGUGUCCACCUGACCCUCCUGGAGGAUGUUUGAGUGACAACAAUGAUUCUGGGAUGGAUCCUAAGGACACUGGGGAGCCAUGAGGACUUUGUGAGGUAGAGAGACAGAACCAAACUCACAUCUCUGAGACAUCAUCCUGGUGGCUGUGGGACAUGACUUCAGUGGCAGCCUGAGGCUAUUGGAUGCUGCUUCAGAGGUCCAGGCCUGACUGCCCCUUUUCCUUGGAUCUAUGUAGUGGAUGCAGGCUGGAUGGCUCUGUGAAUACAGUCAAAUGACGAAUCCAGACAACAGCGACCCACUGACAACGGUGACCCAUUGCUGACCUAGCACGUGCCAGGCACUGUGCUAAGAAUGUUCCAGAGAGUCAUGCCAUGCUUGUAGCACCUUUAAGAGGUGGGAUGCAGCCCUGCCUCAUAAUGAGGCUAACUCUUGCAGAGAGGGGCUGCUCACUCUGCCCACACAGAAUGCUUUCCUGAGCACCACUGAGGCAGAAACUUGGUUACUUUUGAAGUAAAGCACUUUUACUUACUUCUUUGUUUAAAUGUUGUUUUUAGUUCUAAUGAGGACUUGUAGUUGGCCAUAUUACACGGGUGGGGACACGGUGCAAUGUUCUGACACAUUGUUGCUACUGUUACCUCCACCAAAAGAUGUGGAAACUCCCUGGCCUGCCCUCCUGCCCUGCUUAUCAGGGAUGUUCAGAGGUGUGUGUGUGUGUGUGUGUGUGUGUGUGUGUGUGUGUGUGUGUGUGUGUGUGUGUGAAUGUAUCUUUUUCUUUAGUAAGAAGCUGGGUGAGUGGGUCUGUUCAGCACAAGCUGCAUAAAAGGCUUUUCUUGACUCCUCAAUGCCCCAGUGUGGUCGGAGCUGUGAGGAGGUAGGUUCACAGGUUCCUACUUUGGUUCCUACUGCCCAUCCCUUUCUCCUGGUCUAGCUUGGCCCCCUUAGCAGUCCUCUCCGGACUCCCAGGUCACUUCAUCCUAGAAUCAAUCCCAGUAGACCCUGGGAGAGCAGAUACUGACCUUCUGGAUUCUUCCUGAUCCUUCUGGAUUUCCAACUGAAGGUGUUCCAUCCCAACCCCUCAGCCAGAGGGAGCAUUGCUAUGACCCCCUAGGAACCAUUUCAUUCCCAAUGUGAACAGCUCUGCUGGGGUGCAGAGGUUCUAGCUCUGAUGCUGUGCCCCUUGAGCACCCCACUUUCAGUGCUCUCUUCUGCUUCCUGUCAAUCAUUUCUCCCUCAUACUGCAAGCCUAACAGAAGCCCCACCUGUUCUGGGAAGCCUGAAUGGAAGCAUCUCUCAUUCCCAGUCCCCAAAGCUUCUCUGGAACCCUCCACCAGCUAUUUUAGGAGCACUCAUGGCUACUGAAGUUUUCUUCUGUCCCACUGGUCUUGCUGGAGGUCUUGUGGUCCUCUUUGCUUGCCUUAGGCUAGUUUUGUUUUAGGCUUUUAAAACGUUUUUUUUUUUUUUAAAUUAAAACAAAGCAGCACACCCACUGUUUGUGGGGUCAUUCAAGGAAUGUGAACCUAAUUGUGUGUGUGUGUGUGUGUGUGUGUCUGUCUGUCUGUCUGUCUGUUUUUAUAGCUAAUUUUUUUAAAAUCUGUGUCCCUCUGGUCAAUUGAAUUUUAAUUGCAUUAAACAUUUAUUUAUCUAUUUAUUUAUCUAUUUAUUUAAUUUUUAAUCAUCUAACCUUCGGACACUGGAACUUGCCCAUACCUUCUUUCUGCACAUUCUCCAGCACCACAGUCCCCACCCUGUUUUCUAAUCACCCCUCAUGACAGGGUGCCAUGUCCUGCUUCGCAGACUUUCAGUGGAGUUCAGAGAGGAACGGAGUGUCUUGUGGACCUGUGUUUUUAUUUCCAGGAGGAUGCAAAGGACGAGACAGGACUGUUCCUCCCGCCUGCCCUCUCUGACUUGUUUGGCUGACCCCACCCACCACUCGGACAGGAAGGAGCUUCUCUAAGUCAGGGAGGGAUUUGGUCUCAGGCUGGGGUCAGUUUCACAGCUACGGAGUGCCCAGAUUCCUUACCAAUCUCUUCUUGACUCUCAUAGUCUCCUCCGGUGCAGUUGUCCCUGCCUUCUGGGUAAGGAACAGGAGCCUUGGAAAGCUAGUAAGUGAGACGCCCAGGCUGGGUGUCCCUGAGAUAUGGUUACUGAUCUGCCUGGAUGCAGUGUCACCCCUUUUGCUGGUUCCCAGUGGCUGCUCCAGCUGCUCCCAGUGGGCAAUUGAUAGAUCCUAGUAAGUCAGGUUGAGUGGCAGUCAGAAGGGAGAUGGACCAGAUAGGACCGGCCCUGGCCUGCGAUGCGAAGCAGGCAGCAUGGGUCUGAUGUUCCCAGGUCUACCUCCCAUCAUCCGUCGGGAACUGCUCUGGGGAUGGCGCCCUGAGUGAAGACAUGCUGGGUGGAGAUACACCCCCAAGCACUACGGUGUCUUUGAGGCAGAAGGACACUGUGCAGGUGUCAAGCUCAGCAGGAGCAUUUUAACAACCUCAGGCCUUGUUCACUCUCCGUGGUCCUUGAAGUGGCCGCAGGCUCAUCCCUCUAAUACGGUCUCAGUGACUUAUUGGGCCCCAAUAAUUGGCUGUGCAUGCACCCUUUCCAGUCUCCUUCUGGACUAUACAGUAAUUUUGCAAAGCCAAGCCUUCUGCUUGGGCAGGAGAUGGGACUAAUCGUGGCUAGAAGGCAGGUUCAGGCAGCAGGAUAGCUCUCACCACCCAGUAGAUUCUCUAUAACUGGAGUGGGGGUUGUGUGUAGUCAGGAGUGCUCUGUGGACAGCGUCAGAAGGUGACUGCUAGGACGGACUCUCCACAAAGGAUCCCCGGCUCUCCUGGAGCAGGCGUGUCAUAUCAUCCUGCUGGCCCGAUGGAGCAGGUGGCUCGGGAAGCUUCAGAUGAGACUGGGCAGUGUUUUCUUUGCCCAGCUCCAGCUCUCUGUGCAAGUGGAUUAAGUUCUGGAUCAAAUAGGGCCUCUGCUUUCUUGGCGUUCAGGGCUGGCUUUGCUUCUCUGCCUGCUGGGAUACAUGUUGGAUAUGUGGAUUAUCCCCCAUAUCCAAACUUGGGGAUCCUGCGCCUCCAACUGUUCCAGUCUGGGAUUUAAGACAUCUGGCCUAACUGGCCUGGAGACAAGUUCCAUUCUAGGGAUAUAGUGCUGAUGGUAUUGGCUGUCACAUCAGAGAUGUGGAGUGAACAUCUUGGUCCUGACACCAACUAGGAGGGGACCUUCGGCCUGCUGUCUAAGCCCUGUGUCCUUGGACUGUGUUCAGACCCCACAAUGUACUGUGGGAAGGGAGAGGUCCUGACUCUAGGAGAGUGCCAGUGGCCAGAGAGACCAGAGUGGAGACUCAGCUCUGGGAGAGUUUGUCUCAGUGUCUCUCAUUGUUCCCAGUGUCUGGGAGUCAUGCUUGAGUCCCUUACCCCUCCAAGAGGCAGCCGAUCUGUAUGGUCCCCACCUCUCAGGUACCUUUCCUGGGACCUAGCAUCUCCCACUGCAGCAGCAGCCACAGUAACAGGAGGCACUAACUCCUUUCCUUGGGUCCCUCCAGGGUUUGAGGGGAGAGGAUCUCACUCAGAGAGAGGGGUGACACUUCAGGGUCCCCAUGGAACCACACGCGUCUACUGGAAGCAGCCAUGCCUGUUGAUCGUUUAUUGCUCACUGGCAGGCUUUAAGUGCUUUCCAAUAGGUCCCCCUAAGUUUGCACAUAGGGAAACUGAGGCUCGGGAAUGCAACUCAAACUAGAUAAAGCUGAGUGAGAGAACCCUCCACACAGGGAGUGUACCUUCACUUUUUGUGGCUCCAUCACUCUGGGAACACAAAACCAGCAUCAUCCGAGAACGCGGAAGAAACUCCAGGUGUCAAAGUGUCAUCCCCGUGCGUGGUGGGGGUGGGGGACCUUGGUAAGCAUGUGCUGGGUAAAUGCAACCCCUCACUUCCGCUCUGUCUCGGCCUUGGGAGUGGAGAAGGAGCAACACAUUUCCUUACACCCACUCCUCUUCCCAGCCUCCCUCGCUCCAGCUUGUUGUUCUGACCUUGUUCGAGAGACGUCUUGAUAUUUGUUGCCAGGUAGACGAAACAUCUGGAGGAUUGACUCAUCUUUUCCCUCCGUCCAAAUGUCUUGGUGUCUUGAAGAUAAAGGCACAGAGAAGUGACUGCCAGGGCCCGGUUCCCAGAAGGCCAUAAAACACGGGCGAUCCUGCCGGGCCUUGCAUGCCACAAUCCAGCAAAGUGUUCCUUGUAUUCAACACAUGGUGAUUUUUUACAAAAAUCGCUGAACUAGCCAUGUUCUCUGUAUUGAUCAAUAAAUUACUUUGAUGAAAGCUCAAUAGGCAAAGGCCUCUGGCACUCAUUCUCUCACAGAGGAAGGGCCUGGACGCGUUUCCAUCUCAAAAACCUUGCAGCUCUUUCCAGACCUAUAUUUUCUCUCCUGCCUAGGCCGGGACCUGCUCAGACAGGGCUCUGACAGUUUGGAGAGCACACACAGGUACUCUUCUGACCUAGAAGUAUGGAGGGUGGAUGGGGUGUGAGUUCAUUUACCCAUCAGGCCCCCCCAAGGAAUUGACUUUGCUUUUUUUGAUAGUCCAUGCUGUCCCUGCUGUGCCUGGCCUUUGCUAGACCCAUAUCCUGCUGGGAUCCACAAGCACCAUGUUCCCCUCCUGUGUAGAGGGGGUCAGGAGUCAGAAUGGACCCAUGGGUGCUUCUAAAAUGUUGCAUCUUUUGAGUCCCUGAUCCUUGCUGGAACUUUCUAUGUGCAUUGCUGAAUUUGGUGCUCGAGAGGCCCUUGGAUCCAACAACAGCCUUCACGGUGGGCAUCCGAGGCAGGAAAGCUCUCGGUUUGGAGGGACCGGAGACCGUGAUCCUGGUAUGCAGAACACCUCACAACUGUCUUCAAGCUCUUAGCAUCUCAUCCCUCGGUGAAGGAGGCUAGAGAGAAGCCAGAGGGUGUGGAGGGCAGUGGGGUCUUGCAGGGCAGCCCCACUGGAGCUCAUUGCCCAGUUAGGAUAAAAUGAUCGGAUGCAUGUAGUUCCCAAGCCACUGCGUGUCACCUGGAGCUAGUGCACAGAGCUAGCAUCGCCUGCUCAUGUGACGGUCACACUGUAUUGUUAGGCUCCCCAUUCUGUAGAUUAGAGCACUGAGGUUCACAAGGCUGCCGUGACCACCGCUCAGGGCAUUUCUCCCCAGUGCUGGGCCGGUCACAGGCCUGUGGAGCUGGAAAGGAGCUAAGGCUGCCUCCUCAGCUUGACUGUGGUGCCAUCUGCAGACUGACUCCCAGGGAGCUGACUGACGAAGACGUACAGUUGUUUCAGGGCACAUCUGGGAGGCUGACUGUUUUCCCUGUUGCCCCAGGUAGAUGUGAAUAGAGCCCCCUCCGCUCUAGACCAUCUACCCCAAACCCCCUUUGGAGACUGGUUCCUCUUUAAUCAGCCCAGGCUGGCUCUGGCAUCUCCAUCCUCCUCAGCUAUUCCAAGACUGUGGCUUUGUGACAGAUGUGUGCCACUGUGCCGGCCAGCAGCGUCUUUAACUUCGCAGUGGUAUUCCUGACAAGAGAACAGGUCCUUGAAGCAGAAUCACUUUUGAAAUCCUGAACCCCUCACUUUUUUUAAAAUUUAUUCAUUUAUUAUAUAUAAGUACACUGUAGCUGUCUUCAGACACACCAGAAGAGGGCAUCGGAUCUCUUUAAAGAUGGUUGUGAGCCACCAUGUGGUUGCUGGGAAUUGAACUCAGAACCUCUGGAAGAGUAGUUGGGUGCUCUUAACUGCUGAGCCAUCUCUCCAGCCCCCAAACCCCUCACUUCUUGACCUUGCCGCAGUUUCCCUAAGAGCAGGUGAUAUGAUCCAAGUAUAUAAGAAUACAUCUAUCAUCUAUCUAUCUAUCUAUCUAUCUAUCUAUCUAUCUAUCUAUCUAUCUAUCUAUCUAUGUCUAUAUAUUACAUAGAGAUAUGUACUCACCUUACCUUACUUUAUUUACCUUACUUUACCUUAUUUAUUUAUUUAUUUAUUUAUUUAUUUAUUUAUUUAUUUAUUUAUUUAUUUCAGACAGAGCCUUACCAUGUAGCUAGGCUAACCCUGAACUCACAGCAGUCCUCCUGCCUCGGCCUCCCACACACUGGGAUUACAGGUGUCCAUCACCACGGUCUGCUUCGUUUAUUCUCCAACAGAAACGAAAACAGUAAUUCCCCGUUUUUUACAGCUCUAAAUAUUUUUCUUAUCCCAGCCUGACCCCAGAUAAAACUGGGGCUGCCAGAGGGCAGAGCUUAACUUUCUACCCCGGUAACAGAGCCCAGUAUUGGGGAAACAUUCAACAUUACACAGCUGCCCAGCAGACCAGGCAGGACCCAGAUGAGACUGCCAGCUGUGUGUGGUUUCCUCCUGCCUCACAACUGUCCUCAUGUCAGAGCCCUGGGCUGCAGGGGAAGCCCAAGCCUCCCAGGCAGCUGGCCUUGUGCAGAGUUGGCCUGGUCCUGUCUCCAGCCCCUUCCUCAGUGGUGUGGUUCUUCCCCUGCACUGCAGUCCCCACAUUAGCCGCCCUCCUCCCAUUAAAGAGACAUUAGCUGCCCCAUCAGGCCCAACACCCAUGCCCUGCUCUCUCCCGCAACAUCCUCAGGACUGUGGCUUUGGGCCAAGGGACAUUUUUCCCAAUUACCUCGAUCGCCUAAGUUCCUGCUGCAGCUGGCCAGGCCCAGCCCCAUUUGCAUACCAUUAGCUAUGAUGCCAUGCAUUAUGGAUUCAUAUUUAAUUUUAGUACUUUUUGGAGGCAACUCUAACCUAAUUAAAAUCUCCUUCUCCAAGAAUCUGACAUUUCCCCGAACUCUGACUCUGCACGAAUGGACCACACACACACACACACACACACACACACACACACACACACACACUCACACUCACCUUGGUCUAGCUAUAGAUGUGUAUUACUACUUUGGCCCUAGCUCUUUAGAUUCUAUACUUAAGUAAAAAAGGAAAUGAUAUUUUCUCCCAAGGAAAUUUGUCAGGCUCAGUUUUCCUCUUUCUAUAAAUAAUAAUAAGAUAGUAGUUGGGACCCACAGCAUACUCAUAUCCUUAACUCAUUUGCAUGUGGAAACUAUGAAUUGUAUGACUUUUAAAUUUUUCCUUCCUCAAUUCAAAUCUAAUAGCUGAAUGUUUGCUGGAGGAUUACUGCACGUUGAUCAGACACCCUAAUUUUCAUAGCACUUUGAGACCAGCAUUGUUUUUACACAUCCAUUUUACAGAUGGAAAGACUGAGGCUCAAGGUUUCCCCCUCCCCUUGGGACCACUCAAUAUUGAUGGAGGUUGAAUCUGACCCCACAAUGCUUCUGAAUCUGAACCUUAACUAGACCACAGUUUUCCUCUUCCUUUUGAAAGGUAGAAUUGGGUUCAAGGAUUGGAGGUGCUGUAGUUUUCCAAUGUCCUUGGAUUCAGGCCAGUGUGUGACUGCCAUUCAUUUCCCUAUGUGUCUCAGCAGUCAGUCUAUCUCAGCCGGUCAGGGACAGCAUCUUUUGACCUAAGCAUCCUAGGGUAGCAAAGUUUGGCUGGGCCCUGGCAAGCUGGGCAGAUCCCUGGGUGAAGCACAGGAGGGCUCAGCUCAUCGGUGCCCCAUGCUGUCUGCCCAAGCCCCAGUUCUCUCUUCUUCAUGUGGAAGCCAGAAGGGUGAGAAGAGGCAGGGUGGGAACUCCAUAUGGACCUCCAAGGAGGAGAAUUCAUUGUUCAACACCCCAACCUUGAAUUAUGACAAGACACAUAUUCUGACACAGAAAAGCGAGAGGAAGCUUCAGUGCACAGCCUGGGCAUAGCCAGCUCCAGCCUUGUGCACAGCACUGUCCCAGACACUUCCAUAAUUACACAGGCGCAGAGCAGCUUGGCUUCUUACUCCCAUUGUACAGAGGACUCCACAAGAACUAGGGCUAGGAGCAGCCCCAGGACUCUCUACCCUCAAAGCCUUGGGUUUCCCACCCUCCGUUUCUGUCGUCCCUGCAGGACACUGAGUUCCCGGAACAGUGCAGACAAAACCCUUCCUCGAAUAGACCUCUCUGGGUGCUGGGUAGAGCCUGAGGAUCCUGCCCCACCAAUCUAGCUGAAGCAGCAAGCUCCGAUUUCAGUACGAGCUCUUGUUUCAAAUCUACACGGUGGAGAAAGACAUGCCUGUGUCGACCCGGCUUCCACAUGCAUGCACAUAGCUGUGUGCACAAGCACACACACAGGCAAACAUCGCACACGACACAGGAAAGGAGACAGAGUGAAGGGGUGCUUCACCCGGAGCCUGGUGCACAGCCGGUAGGUUGUGUGUGUGCUCUCCCUGUGUUAUCAUCUAGAAUUUUCUGAUGAAACUCUGCCCCGGGCCCUAUGCAUUCAGGUCUCCAAGCUUCUGUGCUUGGAGACCCUCUCUUCCCUCUGUGGUUGUCUUAGUUAGGGUUUCAUUGCUGUGAAGAGACACCAAGACCACAGCAUGUCUUAUAAAGAACAGCAUGUAAUUGGGGCUGGCUUACAGUUUCAGCAGGUUCCUGGCAGGCACGGUGCUGGAGAAGGAGCUGAGAGAGUUCUACGUCUUGAUCCACAGACAGCAGGGAGAGACUGUGUCACGCCGUGUGCCACACUGGGCAGAGCUUGAUCAUAGAGGAGACCUCAAAGCCCACCUCCACAGUGACUCGCUUUCUCCACACUUACCCUCCGCCACAGCUCCUAAUUUUGUUACUCCCUAAGGGCCAAGAAUUCAGACACAUGGUUCUAUGGGGCGGGGCCGUUCCUAUUCAACCGUGGCCAAUCAAGGUCAGGCCACUGAUCCAGGUUUUCUAAGCCAACCACCCCCCGCACUCCAGGCCACUACAGAAUUCAGGGGUAGCACGGGAUGCUAGGUCUAAGUCUGACACCUGUGUCCUCUCUGUUACUUCCUCUCUACCUUGAGUCAGCUACCAUUUGCUCGUUGCCUCAGUUUCCCUCAUUAACCAGGUGCGAUCGUUGUACUCCCACAGGGGACUGAGGCAUUGGCUUGCCCCACACGUGUGACAGUUUAAGCAGUGGUACUCCCUGCGUGAUCUCCUCCUCCCCCAUCUUUCCCUAGAAAGGCCUCAGAGACGGCAGUGUGGGCCUGCUCCCUUUGACCGUCUGCUUCACAGUCUUAGAGCCUCACACAACAUCUUAAAAAGACAUACCUGCAGGGCCGUGUAGCAGCGUUUGUAGCUCAGCACCACGGACAGUGUCUUAGACCUAAAUACUUCUGCGGGGUACAGAUAGGCCUUAGUUCAAAUCUUCAUGGUGACCAGCCUAGGCCUCAGUUUUUUCACCUGCAAAGGGGGCACAUCAAUGGGCUUCAGCUAAGAUAUUCAGAAUAGGCGGUGGCCUACCCCUAUGCACCAGCGGAGUGGUUCACUGAAGGCAGAGGCAACCCAGCCUCCCCCAGCCAAGGACUCAGGGUAAGGCCCAGCAUCCACAUCCCAAUAAUAUCUGCCUGGUGACUCCCGUUGUCCAGAGGUAACAGCACACGGGAUCCCUGGGGCAAAGCAGACUUUGCCGGUGACGGUCCUCCUUCCUUUCACAUUUCACAGUGAGGUUUUGCAGGAAAAUAUCCCUGUUUCCAUGUGCAGAGAAAGAUCAUUGGCUCCUUCUAGCCCAGCUGCUGUGAUACAGAAGGCCUUGGUCCCUGUGGGACCCAGAAGCCUCUGCUCAUGAGUGGCUUCUACUGCAUGUGGCCUGGUGCUAUAUUUAGGUCUCAUCAGGCCUUUGAGUCCCUCUGUCUCUCCGAGCUUUAUUAAGGUCACUGCUCUUCCUAUAGAACUAAGCCUGAAGGGCUGAGGCAAAGCCCCUUCCCCAGUGAAAGAAAGCUAGAGGGACCCUCCAAGGUCUGAGACUCCUCUGUGGAUGGCUCCAAGGUGGGCAGGAGAGUACAGGACCACAGCCUUCCGUGAGAGAGUAGGGGGAAAGGAGAGGGAGGGAGUGAGAGGGAGAGAGAGAAAGUCACCCAUAAGCUUAAUCUGCCUCAUUUGCCCCUUUGGUCCAGCACCCUCUGACUGACCUGCCAGAAAUUCUGACAUGGCUCUAUACAUGUCCUUUUACCCUCAUUCAAAAACCCUCAAGGGCUCCCUAUUACCUAUAAUAAAUGUAUAAACAUAAAGUCCAACCUUGGCUUGGCAUUCAGGGUCUUCUGUGAUCUGACCCACCCUACUUCUCAUCUUCAGUAGCAAGCCUAAACCCCUACAAGACGAAACCUUCACAGGGACCAGGUUUCAUCGACCACAGGCACCUUGGAAAGUAAAUAGAACACCAGGUGAUCUGUUAAUACCUGAUGACCUAAUGGCUAAAAACUGAAGUAUAGCAUGGCCGUUUGCAGCUUCCCAUACCCGAGUACACUCGACUCUUCCUGAUCCUCUGUGGUGAACCAGUCCAGUGUCCUCCUCGCUGGACAUGUCUAGGGUACAGCUGCUUCUGCCCAGUGGCUGACACUCGUGAGGUCUGUGGAAAGAAGAUGCCUCAGCCUGACUUUCCACCCCUCCGAAUUCCUCUGUGACUUUUGGAGAAUGGGGCAGCACCAGCCCUGGUAGAGCAGAGGGGGAGGGAUGCCACCCCAGGUAGGGGACAGUACGUGCAUCAUCUGCUCAGGACAGAUUGAGGGGCUUAGAGGGGCUGGCAUCACCUGGGUGGGCUCAUGUAAGUAGAAGCCCAGAAAGCACAACAUGGGAUCUGACGAUGGUGGGGCUCAGAGCAGGAGCUGGGGGAAUGGGGGAUCAGGGCAGUAGGUGAAUGUGACUGGCCACUGCUGUUCCUCUGUCAGCACAGAAGCUGUCCUGGGGGAAGCAGCUGCUAGGCAGCGGUCUGAGGUAAGCCUGAGACCUGGAAGCAAGGCAGGAACUGUGUACCUCACCCAAGGCUAAGGUUAGGUUUCAACUGUCCAGAGAGGUGACCGCUCUCUGCCAUUCUGGGGACAACUGACGGGGCCCUCUAUUUCACCUGCUCUGCACUUGUGGGUCCAGCAGACUGUGGUUGGGGAUGGAGUAGGGAUAGUGUAAAGUGUGGUCUGCAGCCAUUCAGAUAAUGGCUGCUCCCACUGCUGUCCCCAUGCCUGAGUCAUGGAUACCAUGCCCCCUCACUGGAAGGCAUCAGAGGAUGCAUACACACGUAUACACCCCAUGUGCAUGCACACACACAUACAGGACAUACACACACACACACACACACACACACACAGAGGGCAUAGACACACAUGCACAUGCAGAGAGAGAGAGAGAGAGAGAGAGAGAGAGAGAGCGCACGCAUGCACACACACACUGAGACACAUAUACAAACAUACACACACAGAGAGAAAGCACACACACACACACACACACACACACAGAGCAGCGCGCACAGACAGACAGUGAGAGACAGAGACAGACAGAUAGAGACAGAGCGAGCACAAUGACCAAGGACUCCUUCAUGGCCCUGGAGACAUCUUUUACAUUUGGUACCUGCUGAUUUGAGGGACAGGAGGGAGGGUCUGGGAGUCUCGUGUUGGGUCCUCCGUUCCAGUCAUCCACAUCCCUAGGUUCCCUUGGGUCUCAGAAAGGACAGUUGCAGUGACAAUGCUGUCUCUGACCCUCAUCCUUCCCCAAGCCCUUUGCGUGCUUUUCCCUCUGCACCCCGUGAUAUCCAGAUCAUGUGGGAUUAUCGACUCUGCUUUACAGAUAAGGAAAUGGCUGGCGAAGGUCCUGUGGCUAGCGAGAGAGAGCACUGGGCGUGGGGAUUAGUCUACUGCGGCUGGCUUUCCUCUACUCUGAUGUGAAGAGUUUUCAUUUAAACAAGAUGUCCUGAAGUUUGCAGGAGCAGUGGAUGGGAGCGAGGAGAAGGUGGGGUUGGCCACAGACUCCUCUCUUCCACUGCUGUCCCUUAUAUUGGUUUUGGGUCCUGACAGACAGCCAGUGUCACUCAGCCCCUCUCUCUUCCUCUGCAGUGUCAGUAUGGGGCAGAAGAGCAGGACCUGAUCAGGAUCUGAGGAGCUUGUGGGUGAGGAGGGUUGCCAGGGUGAUGAGUGAUAGCUAUGGUGGCUCUUAGGUACCUUGUUUGGGGUUGGGAGUUCCAGGAGGAAGGUAGGAAGAGUCUAAGAGGAAGGAAGGGGAUUGCUCGGGAAGCCUCAAAAUUGUGUGUGUGUGUGUGUGUGUGUGUGUGUGUGUGUGUUGGUGUGUGUUGGUGUGAUGUGUGUGUGUUGGUGUGUUGUGUGUUUUUUUUGUGUGUGUAUAGGUGUGAUAUGUGUGUUGGUGUGAUGUGUGUGUUGGUGUGUUGUGUGUUUGUGUGUGUGUGUGGUGUGAUGUGUGUGUAGGUGUGUGUGUUAGUGUGGUGUGUGUGUGUUGGUGUGAUGUGUGUGUGGUGUGAUGUGUGUGUGUUGGUGUGGUGUGUGUGUAGGUAUGCAUGUGUGUUGGUGUAGUGUGUGUGGUGUGAUGAGUGUGUUGGUGUUUUGUGUGUAUAGGUGUGGUGUGUGUAGGUGUGUGUGUUGGUAUAGUGUGUGUGUAGUGUGAUGUGUGUGUGUUAGUAUGGUGUGUGUGUGUGUUAGUGUGGUGUGUGUGUGUGUGUGUGUGUGUGUGUGUGUGUGUGUAGGUGUAGUUAGUUUCCCCAUUAACCCUUCAUUUUAAAAAGAAACAUUUAUCCUGGGUUUUACAUGGAGGACUCAGACAGACAACAUCCUUCCAACACAUGGCUAGAUUCCGUAAGUCAUAGUCCAGUCCUGAAGGUGUCACUUAGGUGAGAGUGGAACCAAGCCAUGACAUUCAAGGGCACAGUCCCAUCUGGGAGAGUUCAGAAUAUCUAGAGAAGGGGGUCAGCCUGCUCCCCCAAUGCCAUUUCUUUCCUUCAGACCUCUGGCUGCAGGUCAGUUGAUAGUUGAGGCCACCUCGGGCAGGGUUUGACAUCCAUGUGACUAUGAGGCCAUUCCCAGUCAGUCACCAGCAGUGAUGACCAGGCUUCCUCGAUAACAUGCCCUGUGAGGGCAGAUUUAACACUCACCCAGUAGAUCCGACAUUCUUUAUAAGUUAUGUAUCAAUACACCCGGGUUAAUCUGCAUACCUAACAAAUUGCGAGCUGUAAUUAAUAAUGGUAUUUAAAUAAGUAAUUAGAAUGAUGCUAUUCAGAGCCAGGUGUGGAAGUUCACACCUGUAAUCUCAGCCCUGGGGAGGCUGAAGAAGGAGAACCUAGAGUUUGAAGCCAGACCGUGUCUCAAAAAAGAUAUAUGUGGGGGCUGGGGAUUUAGCUCAGUGGUAGAGCGCUUACCUAGGAAGCGCAAGGCCCUGGGUUCGAUCCCCAGCUCCGAAAAAAAGAAAAAAAAAAGAUAUACGUAUAUUGCUCCCGGUGGAUGUUACUGGUGACGCCUGUCUUGUACUCAGCUGUGUCCAGUCUGUUUGGACCCUUCUAAGUCCUCCCACUGUGGUGGCCAAGCACAUGCUGUCACUCAGGAGUAUCAUGCUGGAAGAGGGUUACCCAGUGGUGUGGGGGGGAACUUAGCCUUUGCAAGGACUAGAAAAUGCAGCUGCUCCUGACAGCUCUCCUGCACCCACCUCACUUCCUCUUCCCUCAGCCACGCAUCCUGAAGUCACCACCCAGGUGAACCACGUGAUCCCAGUCCUCUCAGCCUCUGCGUUGGGAAAGCACAGUGAGGGAGGAUCUCCUUUGAGGAAAUCAAGAAAUCCAGUAAGGACUUUGUCCUCUGACUGACAAAAGAGGGAUCAGUUUUUCUUCCCCUUGAAAACCAGUACUGUGUCCGUUUGCCCCAUGGAGAGUGAGCAGAUCUGUGCUGUGGUGUGCUGACUCUAGCCUGGAAGGUUGUCUCAUGAAAUGUUCUGGGCCCUCACGAGGAGCAGAGAGAAACUCCAAGAAGGCUGAGACUGGAGCUGUGCGUCUUCCCACCUGCAGAUCUGUGUGGAGUGCCCUGGGGAGUAACUGAGUUCAAUCCUAAGCACAACGGAGCUUUGAAUAUAAGCUCAUUAAAUUUGCGAGGACAACUGCCAAAUGCAAUCGAUUUUUGCUUUAGGACAAUUGAUUCCAGCAAAUUUUUUCUGACAAUAGGCAGAUGAAGGGCCCUCUCAUCUAUUGCAGCCAUUCUUGGGUUGUGAUAAUAAAAUGGAGCAAUUGUCCCAGAAAGCUCAUUUUUCAGAGUCUGGGGGCAGUGACACACAAACAUAUACACGUACAACAUUACCUGCAUAUACACACCAGUGCAUACACACGCGUAUACACAGAUACACAUGCAUAGUCACAUACACACAUAAGUACAUAUACCUCACACAGAUGAAAUUCACAUGUGUGUAUACACAAACACACACAUACCAUAUAUCUGCAUAGACACAAUUCAUACAUACAUAGACAUGUAACCAUGCAUGACACAUGUACCUGUAUCUACAUACAUGCAUGUAUACAUGCACACACAUAUACAUAUAACAUUACCUGCAUAUACACACCCAUGCAUACACAAUGUGCAAACAUGUACACAUGUAAACACAUAUAUGUAUAUACAUUUAUACACACAUACGAGCACACAGGGGCAUAGAUACCCCAAAGCACACAUGCACACUCAUGUGCACACACAUGUACAUACAUAAGCAUACAUUUCUCACACUGACCACAUCUGAUAGCAUUUAAGUCUCUCUGGGUUAUUGCAUCCAGAUGGAUUGCUGGCUGGCAAUUGGAGGAGCACUGUAGAGAAGUUAUUGACAGGAAUUGGCCUGGGACCUGCUGGGCCACUCCCACCUAUCACCCCCACUUGCAUGCGUCUCGUCUUGCUCUUUCUCCUGGACAAGUGCUAAACAAGUUGAGCGGCCAUGCAAUGCAGUCACUGUCCCUCAAAUGCACGUUUCCGAGCAGGGAACCUCUCUCAGGUUUCUCGUACCAUGAAGGCGAUUUAGAUCUGGCUGAAAUUUUCAAGGCUCACCUUCUCUCCGGUGUGACCUCAGGCCCUUGAAUGUCAAUCCUCACAGGCUCUGGCUGACCAGGGAGCAUAAGGAGGAGGAGACAGAAUUUGGAUUGGGAUGGGUGAGGGUGGGUUCUUGGCUGGGCUUCCUGCUUGUCUUUGAACAGUCGUGCGUCUCUCUCUGUGGACCGCAGUUUCUUUUUCUAUAAACUGGAAUUAUUGCCCUGAUAAUAAACAGUCCCAGGCACCCAUGACAAAGCUCACAUAAAGCACCCAGCGUGGUGUCAGGCCCAGGGCUGUGCGAGCAUGGAUAUGUUAUCUCGUUUCUCUGAACUUCACUUUCUCCAUUUGGCAAAUUGGGUUAAGAGCUUCCACCUUCUCGGGUGACUGGGAAACACCAAGCAGAUUAGGUAUGAGAAGCCUCAAAAUGGGGACUUGCAUACAGUAGUGCUCAACAAAGCCUGGCACUGCUACCAUCGUCACUCCCCUCAUGUAUGUUAAUAACUUAAUAAAUAAGUAUAAUAAGUCAAUAAAAGUGAGGGUUUUCUUGUCUAUGUUAGGCGCUGAAACGGGCCAGUAUGGGGAGCACUAAAUAGCACUAUAUCUGGAAAGCCGCCUUGGGGGCCGUGUGGGUGGGAAGGAGACAGAAUGGGGUGCUUUUCCAGGAACUGCCCAGAGAGUGGCCUGGAAAGCCCAAUGCUGAGUUCUGUGUCCCCAGCUGGCCACCAUACCUGCCUCCUGCAGUGUGGUUUUCUUACCACUGAAGACACAAAGUUUGCCCAAGCUGGGACAGUGUGUUUGAUGUGAAAUCCACUCUUGGAGUGCCUGGGUCCUCCCUGACUCUACCACACAGACUGCCCUCCCUGGAUUGGCAGGGCAAUAGACUAACCCUGCCUUCCAUUUUAUGUUCUGGAACCUUGGGCACCUGUGCCGUCCACCCUCCCCUACCCUCCACAUUCCCAUCUGGGUCUCAAACUCAAAACUUCUCACUUUUGGCUCUCGUCCCCAGCUCCAUCUCUCUCUCUCUCUCUCUCUCUCUCUCUCUCUCUCUCUCUCUCUCUCUCUCCCCCCUUCCUCCCUCCCUCUUGUCUCUGUCCCUGUCUCCAGAAGCUCAGCAGUGUAAGACAGGUCUAGAGGGAGCUAUAAAGAUGCUAGUUAGAUGUAUGAGACUAUAUCUGGAGCCUAGGCUAGACCUUGUAUCUGGAGCCUAUGCUAGACCUUGACACUUAUCCCAUUCCUCCCAUUGCCUUGAGUGGAAACCCCAGCUGUUGGUCAUAGGGUGUGGGAAGGGUUCCAAUACCAGGUUCUUUUACCCCGAGAAACCAGAAGCCUUUUCUGAACUUCAGACUCCUUUCCCAUAAAAUGGCGGUAAAAUCUCAUGUCACAAAGUCAUCAGGAGUGUAGUUUGGUGGCUUGAAUAAUCAUGAUCCCCAUAGGCUCCUAUAUUUGAGUGCUGUAGUCACCAAGGAGUGGCCCUAUCUGAGAAGGAUUAGAGAGAUAAAGAGGCAGGGCCCUUAUCUCUCUGGAGUGGGUGUGGCCUUGUUGAAGGAAGCUGUGUCGCUGGGGGUGGGCUUUGACUUUGCAAAAGCUCACACCAGGCCUGGUCUCUCUCUUUGCUUGUGGAUGGGGAUGCAGCUCAGCUACGCCUGCAGCCCCGUGCAUGCCUGCCUGCUGCCAUGCUCCCCGCCACGAAGAUAAUGGGGCUAUGCCUCUGAAACUGAGCCGGCUCCAAUUAAAUGCUUUCUUCCCUAAGAGUUGCCUUGGUCGUGGUGUCUCUUCACAGCAAGAGAACAGUGACUAAGACAGGUGAAGAGACGGGCCCAGGACUCCCUAGUAGAAUCUGACAAAUGCCAGGCAUGGAGAGCGAAGAGGCUGCUGCCGUAAGCGAACACAUCAGUUCUCAUGGAUCCACGGACAUGCACUGGUGAUCCUCCCUGCUGAGGCCUUUGGCUGCUGCUGGAGAUGCAGACUAAGCUAACAGAGAUGGUUCUUGGGGAGGCUACUGUCAUCAGGAAGGUUAAGACCGAGGUCCUGCAGUCUGGCAGGCUGGUAAGGUCCCAGGGCAAGGCAGAGAGAGAGAAGCCACCUUGGUGACUGUGAUGGAAAACUGUUCUUGUUGGGUGGAGAUUCAGAGUGCCUGGCCAAUGGGACAUAGCCACCUGGCCAGCUUGGGCUGUGAAAGAUAGGCCUGGGCUCCACCCAUUCAUUUCUCAUUUAUUCAGCUAGACCUACUAUGUGCCCAACAUUGUCCCCUGCUUUGAAUCUCACAGCAGGGAACAAAACAUACCUUUAUCCCCGGACUGCCAGAGCUUAGAUUGUGGUGGAGGGAGAGACAAAGAGCUGUUAAAAUGGGUUGGUCGACCUCUCCCCCCAUCCAGACCCAUCUGGGACCCACCUUAGCUAUUCUUGGCUCUGCUGCCAUUAAGCCUGAUUGUUUCUGGUCCUUCUGGGGCAUUGACUAGGUCAUCAUGAUCAUGGUGGCACCCCUAAUGCAGGUAGGGUCACCCCAGCACGUCUAAGGCUGAGCCUGGUUGCUCAUUCCUUUUCCCCCAUGGCGGCCUGAGAAGCAGAGGCUGGUGGCAGCUUACCUCUGAGCCUCGAUGCUAAACCUCCACAGCACUGCAUGGCUGUAGUCGGAGCCUGGGUUUCAUCCUUCCAGCCCACACUGCCCCUUUCCCGGGGUCCUGGAUGGGAGUGGCGUGGAGUUCCGCAAUGACAUCUCCUGUUUUAACAUCUGUGUGUGUUCACUGCAGCUUUACUGCCUUAAAAAUGUUUUCUAAUAACCCCCAGGUGUUUCUCUUGCAUACAAUAGCCUGGCUUGUUACAGCCCAAUUAAAUCCUUAUUUGAGACGCUUAAUUAAAACUCUGAACAGAACAAGCCAUAAAGCUUGCUCCUUGCCAGCCUUUCGCCAAAAGUGCCUGGCCCUUCCCCCACUACAGGCUCCUUCUAGGACAUUGCUGAUGAUGCUUCUCUACCUCUAGUAUUGACCUGGAGGGGCAGAGGCGUUCAACUUGUUCCCCGGAGACUGAGCUCAUGGAACCUGAGUUCUUAGCUCCUUUUCUGAGAUUCAUCUCAGAUAGCCAGAGAACCCAGUCUCAGACAGUGCCAUCUUGGGCCAGAUAAUUCCUUGCUGUCCCCCAACACCCGGCCUCUCCCAAAGAAUGUUAGUGGCCUCCUCACUGCCAGUGGUGACAACCAAAAAUGUUUCCAGACAUUGCCAGAUGCUCCCUGACAGACAGGGAGGAGGUCACCCUCUCUGGGGUAUCACUGUCGCAAAAAGGAAGUCCCACCCACUGCUUUCCCAUCUCUGUUAUCCAAUACCUUGUAGAGACAACUUAAGGGAGGAGGGGUCUAUUUUUUUUCCAGAAGGUUCUGUCCAUGCUCGCAAGACUUCCUCCCUGUGGUUGGAAUGUCACUGUGAGGAUCAUGUGGCAGAAGCAUCCCCUCAAUUCUCAGCAUCCCACAGGCAGAGACAAGGGAUGAAGGUUGGUGCUUGCCUGCCCGGCUUUCUUCUAUUCCCCUUUCAUUCUUUCUGGACCUCCAGUUCAUGGGUUAGUGAUACCUACAUCUAGCUAAUCCUUUCUGGAAAUGUCUUCUCAGACAUACCCAGAGCUGUGCCUCGCCAUCUCCCAGGAGAUGCUAACUCCAAUCCUGAACCUCAGCAAGAGACAAUAGAGAUGAACCACGGCAUCCACCAUUGGACGCCCUGCAGUCUGAGAGAGGCAGCCCCUUGGAAGUAGGUGCUUGCUUCCUCCCCUUCAAACUGAGAAAAUUCUAACAGGAAAUAGAGAUUUCUCAGAACCCUGGAAGAACCAGGGCGGGAAAGCAGGUGAGUAAGGCAGGAGGGGACACAUCUCUACCAACAAACCACCUGUCCUGCCUACAGUCACGGUCUUCCUUCUCUCUUAGUCCAGGAUAAACUGGAGCCAACUCACUUUUCCACAGCCUCCUGGAAAUCAGCGCCUGGCCACUUGGGAUCCUAAACUGGAAGCCUUCUGAAUUAGGGUUUCCACUGAUGUGAAGAGACACCGUGACCAAGGCAGCUCUUAUUAAAGGCAAACAUUUAAUUGGGGAUGGCUUACAGUUUUGGAGGUUCAGUCCAUUAUCAUCAUGGUGGGAAGCAUGGCAGUGUGCCAGCAGACUCAAUCCUGGAAGAGCCAAGAGUUCUACAUCUUGAUCUGCAGAUCUGAAGGGAGCCAUGAGUAGACUGGCUUCUGCGGGCAGCUGGGAGGAGGGUCUGCUCCACACUGGGUGGAGCUUGAGCAUAGGACCUCAGAGUCCACCUACACAGUGACACACCUCCUCCAACAAGGCUAUACCUUCUAAUAGUGCCACUUCCUAUGGGCCAAGCAUAUUCAAACCACCACACCUUUCUGGCUGUGGCUGACCUAGAGACAACGGAGGUACCAACCUGAGAUCCAGAGAUAUAGGAGGAGUGCAUGAUGGGACAGCUCACACCCCUGGCCCUCAGAUAGAAGCAUCCCCAGCUGUCCCGGUGACAGUCCAGUUCCCAGAGUGAAGAGAAUGAGAUGGGAGGAGAAGCCUGCCACUGGAUUCUGAUUGACAGGGAGGUGAGGGUGUCUAGUGAAGGGAUGUGACAAGAAAAUGAGAGGAAGCCACUCUAUCUAUUUGUAAGGCCCACACCUAGGAGGGUGUAGCCUGACUAUCACAUGUGACAUGUGACAUGAAAGUAGACACACGAGCAGGAAUGGUCUGGAAUGGGGAGCAUAGAGAAGAGCUCACUGCUGGCUCACUUAUACCAGUGAACACUCAGAGCUGCAUGUAUUUAUCAUUUUAAAAGAGUGUGUGUUUGUGUGUGUGUGUGUGUGUGUGUGUGUGCAUGUGUGUCUGUGUAUCUCUGUGUGUGUAUCUCUGUGUGUAUGUGUGUCUGUGUGUGUAUCUCUGUGUGUAUCUGUGUGUGUGUCUCUGUCCUUAUGUGUCUGGAUGUGUAUUUGUGUGUGUCUGUGUGUAUGUGUGUUUGUGUAUCUGUGUGUGUAUGUGUGUGUGUCUGUGAGUGUGUGUGUGUCUCUGUGUGUAUGUGUCUGUGUGUACCUCUGUGUGUGUAUGUGUGUGUGUGUCUGUGAGUGUGUGUGUGUCUGUGUGUGUGUCUGUGUAUCUGUGUGUGUGUCUCUCUCUGUGUGUAUGUGUGUGUAAGUGUGUGUGUCUCUGUGUGUAACUGUGUAUCUGUGUGUGUGUCUCUGUGAGUGUGUGAGUCUCUCUGUGUGUGUGUGUGUGUGUGUGUGUGUGUGUGUGUGUGUGUGUAUGUGUGUGUUCACCCACUGAGACCAGAACCUGGAGUUGCAGACAGUUGUAAUCCCAGUGUAAGUUCGGGAACUGAACUCCAGGCUGCUACAAGAGCAGUGUGUGCUCUUAACUGCGAGCAUCUCUCCAGCCCCUCCAGAAGUAUUUAAAACAAAACUGAGCCUUCACUGAACAUGCACAGACUACUUUAUUAUCGUCUUACAGUCAUCCUUAAACAGUACAGUCUGACAGCUACUUGCACAGCAUGUAUAUUUCGUUGGUUAUUCUGUCAUCCGGAGGUGACUUGCAGUGGGGGACAUGUGUAGUACUGCAGACAUAUGAAUAUUAUUGUGUUUUCAGCCAGGGACUCAGCAGCCUUGGAUCGUGCUAUAUAUACAUAGGUAUCCUGGGACCAAUACCGUGAAAGUUGCUUUUCUGUCUUAGUGAGGAGCUGGCUGACAGAGACAACUUAAAGAAGAAAGGUUUCCUUGGUCUCACUGGUACGGAGGGGGUCUGCACACAGUCCCUCCAUCCCAUUAGCUUGAGUGGACUAUCAUGACAGUGGGGGUGUGUGACAGAGGCAGACAGGAAGCAGAGUUCAUCAGAAGUGAGUGGGGUAAAGCAUUCUCAAGGACCCACCCUGUCUCCAUUUCAGGCUUACUUCCUUUAACCAAACCUAGCAUCUCAAAGUUUCUAGACCCUUUCAGAAUAAUACCGUCAUCUGGAGAUCGAGUGCUCAAACUUGAGCGCAUGGGGGACAUUUCCUAUUCAAAUUAUCACAGAAGUCCUGUGGGCACCUAGGCUCUACUGGCAAAUUGAUCCAAGAAAAAUCAGGUUUGGACCGAGUCCUAGGGAACCUGUUUUUGUUCUAGGAAGAGUUAUUGAGGCUGGAUGGAAAAAGGAAGAAGGAUUGAUCAAUAUGGCAUGUGCCUUGUGACGAGAUUCCUGGCCAUACUAUUCCCAAAGAGGACCUGGAGUCUGUUGAUGGAGAAGGUUUUGAGACAGCCGCCAUGAGCUGUUGUGUGUUGAAUACCUACUAUACGUGGUGCUGAAUGUUGAGCGAGUCACACCUCGCCAGCCUUCACAGAGCCCACAAGGAGGAGAACUUGGUCUUUUUCGCAUUCUAGAUGACCUGCCCAAAGUACACUGUGGUCAGGGGUAGACAGUGUGACAGUGACUGACUCUGGCUCCCAUUAUGGUGGGCCCCUUCCUUCCCAGUUGCUACUGGUCUUUCCUUCCUGCACAGUAAUGGGUGUAUAGCCUAUGCUCAGCCCCUAUGGGAUCCCUUCCCUCUGAAGUUCCUCGGGCUGAUGGUGCAGAGCAAAGCCUUGGAUGGGCUAAGGGAUGGGAAGAAAGUAUAGCAGAAUGAGAUCCAGAGAUGGUCAAAGGCUUCCCGUUCCUACUGAAAGAAGGAAAAGGACUUCAUGUUGAUGGUGACAAGUGCCACUGAGAUGCUUCACUCACCCCUACACAGACUCUUGAGGAAAGGGUGGGCUGACCUGACCCUCGGGAAGAGAAGCAGAUCCCAGGUGAGUGAUGUGGGAGGCUUUGAACCUGGGCACCAAGGCCAUUUCCCUAAUGGCCUAAUGUUGAGUGAAUGGGCCUUCUUAGAAGCCCGAAGAUGGCGGAAACUUCAGAGAUCACAGACCAGAAAGCUUUCUUGAGGCCAAGAUUUGGGGACACCCUAGCCCCAUCUACAGAAACACAGCAUCAUUGAAGAUCCAUCUUAUAUCAUAUGCUGUGUUAGGUUCAAGGCCAAGUUCUGCUAGGCUGAACUUGCUUUUGGGGGGCAAAGGCAGCUGCUAAACUUCAGACCAGCGAGGUGCAGUGCACCUGGGUUCAGAGAGAUGUUUGGAAAACCUGUCACUGGGCUGUAAUGUGCACAAAAUGGAGACAGUCCAAGUGUCCAGAAGGACAGUGAAGUCUCAGGAUGUGGUUCAUAUGGGAGAGGGCUUGCCUGAUACAUACAAGGCCCAGCUUUCCCUCCCUGGCACCAUCUAAAACUGGACGUGAUGCUAUGUGCCUGUGACCCUAGCACUAGAGACUUGGAGGUAGGAGAAUUAGGCAUCAUCCUCCACUGAAUGACUACAUAGGGAGUUCAAGGCCAGCCUGACAUCCAUGAGACUCUUCUUUAAAGGUCAAUGAGAUGGAUCGGUAACUGGCCCAACUUUGUCUCCCAAGACAGAGCUGUCAGUUCUGCCCCUGUGUGAAGGAGUCAGAGUACUACAGAUCUCUGAGUUUCGGUUGCUAGACACAGACUUCCUUUUGUUAUCUCCAGAAUGUUGUUGGACAUGGGUGCAUAGCACCCCACAAUAGUGUAGGCCUCAGAGCUUGGGGAGAGCAAGGGCUGAAAAUCCAGGUUGUCCCUGGAGCUCCUAUGGACGUGACAUCUCUGCCCUGUUUUCUGCCUAAGGUCUUCUCAUUUCCCCUCUGCCCCUGAGCUUGUUCUCACACACUGCCCGCCUUGCCUUGUGCCUGCCAUUUGGGACACAGCCUCUGCCUCUCACCGAAUGGUCUCCUAGCUCCCUUUGCCAAUAGCACCACACCUCAGAUUCCAAGGAGAAGGAUUUAGUGGGACUGUCAGCUUUUUCCGUGGGCCUUGGUCAGCCCACGGAUGACUGCCAGCCUCAGGCGAUCUUUUGAAUCUUGAGCGGAUGGGAAGGUUGAUAAGAGGGGAAGAAAAGGUACACGAGGACUGCCUUUGCGUGGAGGUGUGGCUGGAUCACGACCUGUAACAGUGGUAAUAAUUAGUAGCCUUGCUUGUGACAGGAACAGGCUUGCUUAUUAAAUUCACGUGUGAGGCAAAAUGGUGGGAAAUUACGAUUUCCCUGGGUGACAGCAGCCACGUGUCUGAGCUUCUCGAUGGCUCCGGAAUCUGCAGGAAACCACUCUGUGCUGGGCCCAGGCACCUGUGAGACUGAAGGUUUCCACUGCUUCUCUCCGGUCCCCUCAGCUUAACACAGGUUUCCGAUGGUAAGUGUCUCUGUUCUGUUUUAUGAAGGAGUCCAAAAUCACUGACCAAAUCACUCCAAGUAAUGGUUAUGGGUGGAAAAUGGUGCCAAUUCCAGCAGUAAUCCGGUGUCUUGGAAAGAACUCUAUCUCUCUCUGUUUCUCUCCUCCUCCCUCUCUCUGUCUCUCUCCGGGAAGUUUAGAAUGUUCAGUGUGGUGUUGCAACUGAUAAGAAUUAUCCUCCAAAAAUUCUAUCAUUAUUGGAAAUACAUGACCUAAAAUAGAGAAGGCAAUGGUACACACACACACACACACACACACACACACACACACACACACUGCUCUACAUGGAGAACCAAGGGCAUUGCAUUGGUCUUGGUUCCACCCGAUGAAAGGGGAACUCUGAAGGUCACAGCUGACAUUUAUGGAAAUCUGUGUUCAAGACACCAUUCCGAGUGUAAGAUCACGACAACCCUACGGGAUGGAUACUAUUUCAGAGAAAAUAAAGUUUCAGAGCAGAGGAACUCAGUUGUACUGGGGUAGGUGGGCCAGGCUGAAGUCUGCAUGGUGGAGUGGUCACCUGUGGAAGGAGGGAUCCCAAGACUGUGCUGGAUAAAGGCUAGCUAGCCCACAGCGUCGAGGGUCACUGUGGUGCCACCACGACCCUUUUAAGUCUCAGCCUUUUCAUCCUCACACUCCUUCUCAUGCUGCAAGGACACCCGGGAGCUGCCGUGAGUAACAGGCCAGGCCCCCACGUACCCCCCGAGUUUCACUAAUGUCUCACUUUGUGGAGGAGCGGCACAGAUGUUCAAGAACCUGAAAGCCCAGCUCAAGGACACACAUCUAGUAAAACACCACGGGUGAACUCCCAAGCACAGCUCCUGACCUGGCUUCUUGCAGUCACAGCAAGUCCCCAAGUCCCCUAGGCAGAUGACACCUGGUCACCUGCUUGAUCACCUUGCUUGGUGUUUGAGCCACUGAAUGCUCCUCUGCCCUAGUGCCUCACCAAACCCAGGGCUUCGUCUCCCAUGUCUGCGAAGAUGCUUCUAGAAUGUCUCUCUUCUCCCAGCUCUCCGUUGAGGUCCCAGAAUCACUUUAGACUCCAUCGCUAUCAUGGCUCAUCUGUUUCUAGUGUUAUAGGAGGUAAAAGUCCUGAUUCUAAUGCUGGCUAACUGUGCUCUGACUCUGGCUUUAGAAGAUGGUUAGCCUUUCUGCCUCAUUUUUUCUCAUCUGUAAAAUGGGAAUGGUGCUGACCUACUUAUCCCAUAUCAUUGUUGGUUUACCUAUCCUACACACGAACACAUGUAUACAAAUUUGCAUGUGUGUGCAUUUGUGUGUGUGUGUGUGUGUGUGUGUGUGUGUGUGUACACAAAUAAAGUGCUUAGGACAGAUCUGAUUGUUGCCCCCAGUAGUUUUGACAGUCCCAGGCAAGAAGAAGAACUCCCUCAUCCUCUGUCUCCCAUGGGUCAAAUGCUUCCACCUCACUGUUUGCCUUCACCCUUCACCCUCAGCCUCUCCUGUCACCAUGCGCUCAGUGCUGUCCCCAUCUUUCUGUGUUUCCUAGGAAGCUACUAUACCCAUCCUCUGUCCUCUGGCUCACAGAGCUGGGUACCAUAAGCAUUUCUGUGUGGCCUGCAGGAGGAAGUCUAGCUUGUCCACACAGCCCCUGGAGACCCUGUCCUACCACUGGCCAUAGAUGACACCCUCUUCUCAGGCCUGGAUCAAUGAAGCCCCUGGCUUCUCCCUGUAUUCCAUCUGUUAUCUUUCUCAUUGAUCCUUUUUCCUCCUUCAGAGUCAGUCUCCUUAGGUUCCCAAACUCAGCAAGGGAGUGAAAGGUAGCCUGCUCCUCUCUAGGCCCAAGGUCCCUUUCCUUACAGAUAUCUGUAACCUAUGACUCUUUCCAAGAGGCUCAUGGCAUCAGCUAGGGCUGGCCUUGGAAGUACAUCUCCUCUGUCUGGCAGCUCCACCCCCAGGGCCACCUCCCCAGGCCCUGCGACUCUGAUUGGCGCUCACCCCACGACCCUGGCUCGGUGCCUAGGUUGUUGGAUUGUUUUUGAUGUGCCCAUGCCAUGCCUCGUACCCGCGCCAAGAUGCACCAGAUCCCGUAAAUGCCUUCAUCCCCAUCAGAGAUGGAAGGCAUUUUGUUGUUUCCUUCCUUUGUGAGUUGGGUCCCAGCCCAGACAUCUCCUUGGAACUCAAGUAUGAUAAACAAGUAGGAGAGUUUGCCUGGACUGCAGCCCCGGGAGUCCAGAGGCUCCUCCGGAACUUCUGGCUGGUCCUCCCACUGGCUUGAACUGGUUAUGGAUCUGGCUUCUACCGGGACUCCUCCUGGCCUUCGAGAAUAGGGCACAUUGCUGGUCCUGAUGCAAACGCCCUGGCCCUUCCAGGAUGGAAGGGAUGCAAAGGGAGAUUUCAUGAUGGAGAACCCAGGAGGUAGCCCAGGAGUAGUGCAGGCAAAGCCUCGCCUUGAACGAUCCAGUGGAGCGACGGAAGGAUGGGGAGAGAGGGCAUCUUGACAGUCCAGCCUCAGAAACAGGGUUCUAAGGAAGGUGGGUGGAGCGCUGGGUGAAGUCUUAAGGGAUUAUUAGGCCGAUGUAAGGCUCCGGGCUGCACUGUGAGUUAGCUUGCUGCCUUAUGGACAUCUACCCCACCCCCACCCCAACACACACACACCUCACAAGUUACUUGAGUUGCUGCAUCUGCAGGUGGCAUAAAGAUCUCAGCAUCUGGGGCUGGAGAGAUGGCUCAGCGGCUAAGAGCACUGACUGCUCUUUCAGAGGUCCUGGGUUCAAUUCCCAGCAACCACAUGGUGGCUCACAACCAUCUGUAACAGAUUCUGGUGUAUCUCAAGACAGCUACAAUGUACUCAUAUACAUUAAAUAAAUAAAAUAUUUUAAAAUAAAGUAAUUGCUCAACAAAGGGGAUAUGGUUAUUUCUGCCUGUAUAUGCCUGUGUGAGGUAGACUGAGUCAGAGUACUCCUUCUGGCUGAGCCAUGGCCAACUCUGGUUCCUGUAUCCCAGGCAGAAAGAAAACCCUAGGUGGCCAAGCAUAGCCAGGCUGGGCUGGCUACAUCCCCCUGUGCUAGGGGCGUGGCUGGCCGGGAGCAGGAGGGGCCCAGCCUUAUCAACAUGAAGAUCCCAGAGAUGCUAGCAUGUGAUUCACAGGGCCAUUUUGCUGACAGCUUCUUCUGCCUCACCGGACUCCAAGCAAUUAACUAGCCAGGCCCCCGGGAGGGACGUUUGGCGGCAAUCAGGGUAACCUUGACCUCCUUUGUGAUGCACAGCCAGACUCCAAGGUGCUCAAGUGCCAUUGAAGGGCAGCUCCUCCCAGCACAGAUAACUCCUCCUUCUGCGCCAGUUGGCUCAGAGGCCAGGGUCCCCGGACUCAGCCGCCGACACCGACAGAGCUGACCUUAUUUGACUUUUACACAGUAGAGAAUUUCUCAUGGUCCAGCACAUUUUGGUUCCUUAGAGACGUACAACCAACUGAGUUAUAUGCCCUGUGUGUGUGUGUGUGUGUGUGUGUGUGUGUGUGUGUGUGUGUGUGUGUGUGUGUGUGUGUGAAGAUUUGAGGCGCGUGCGCAUGUGCUAGGAUUGAAAGACCCCCGAAGGGAGCCCCCCACUCAAGUCUCGGGAAAGACGCGCACCCAGUAGGACACAGACACCGACCUGCUGCAAUCACACGAGGAAGAUUUAUACUGUAUAGAGGGAUACUGGUGCGACAGAAAUGUGAAUGGAGAUGCGUGUGCGUCUGGGUGGGAGUGGGACGUGUGGACUGAACUAGGGGAGGGGGCUGCAGUUUGAGUGGAGUAGAGAACGCAUGAGCUCCAAUGAGUGAGGCAGGAGGGAGGGGCCGUGGCUGAGGGUGUGGGGAGGCAGGUUUGGGGAUGUGGUGACAGCCCUCCCCUGCCAACUCCUCCUCGGUGGCUCAGGCCUGUACGUUUCAAAUACUUCAUUGUCGGGCCUGGUAAAGCCUUUAUUUAUAAAGCGCGGGUGUUUCAUUCAGCUUAACUGAAAAGGCCUUUAAAUCACCACAGCUGGGAAGGGCUAAUUGCAGUUAGAGUUGUCAAGGACUCUCUUGUCUGCUUUCGCCAUCUGUGACAUAGUGAAUGCAAAGAUCAUUUUAAACAUAGGCAGUUAAUGUAGAGAAUAAUUUGAGAGCUUUAGAUAUUUAUGGUAAAUUAUUUAACUUUAUAGUUGAGUUUUAUUGCCUCAUUAUUCUGUGUGUGAAGAAUCUCGGCGUUUCCUGUGACUCGGCACUUUGAGGAGUUUUACUUUGCCACGCUCUGGAGGAAAGUUACUCCGCCCUGCUCAGCCUGGAGCGGAUCUCCAGGCCUCCCACAGAGAGGCUGUGGUUGGACGUCCAUCUAGGCUCAGGCUGCGGCUGGUUUUUGCCCCAGUCAGGCUCAUUAGGUGCUCCACUGGUUUGUCCAGGUUCCUCCACUCCGGCCUCAUAAGGUCCCUACCUGACGCCCCUCCACCAAGAGGUGCUAGGAUCCCAAGAGGACAGUUCUUGGACCAGGCAUUUUGCUUCCUUUCCGCCUUUUGGAUCCUAGGCCCACCCUUUUGUCCCUUGCUGGGGCCAGGGCGGAAGUUGGUUAUGUGCUUGUAUUGUCUCUUAGUCAUCACUCAGAGUUGUGCCUUCCUAAUUACCCAGGUUUCUUUCGCAUAUCUCUAAAUGAAAGACUUUCCUUAUACCAGAAGACAGCUCCCAACACCCCACACUCCCUUCCGGUUGGUGACCCUGGCGUGAGCACUGGUUUGAGCACUGUACUGUAGUCUGUGGGACUUACAUCACAGCAGGAUUUUGCUCCAGGUGCUUAACUGAGGGCCUUCCCAGACCCCUGAGGUUGUUGGGGGUGGCCCUCAGCCCGUGAUGAUGGGAGGACAAACACCCUACUCCUUUGCCUUCUGGCAGCAUUAGCUCAGAGUGUGGUCAUCCUGUCUCCCAGGUUCCCCUAGCCCAUCUCAUUCGUGGCGAUGAUCCGUCCAGCCACACUCCCCACUACUCCCACUCGCCUCCCUCUUCAUCACUAUUCUCUGGAGUAGCUCUCAAGUAAGGUGGCUUGAACUCAAACCCUGUCUCAGGUUUUGCUUUCAGGGCGGUGGUUCUCUACCUUCCUAAUGCUCCAAUCCUUUAAUACAGUUCCUCGUGUGGCGGUGACCCCCGACCAUAACAUUAUUUCCGCUGCUACUUCAGAACUGUAACUCCGCUACCGUUAUGAACCAGAAUGUAAAGGUUUUGUGUUUUUUUCCUAUGGUCUUAGGUGACCCCUGUGAAAGGGUUAUUCAACCCCAAAGGGGUCUUGACCCACACGUUGAGAACUGUUCUAGUGGUUUCUUCUCCUGGCAGCUGUGGAGUUGACCCACAGCGCUGCCUAUCUGAUGACUUUAAAGAUGUUGAACUCUGCCUGCUUAGCCUACUGGCUUGACUUGGGCAGUGAGAUGCUGCGCUGUGUGCAGCCUUUGUCAGACUUGCUUCGACAGGACAAAGGAGCAUCCAGCCAGCCUGAGUUAAGCACAACCCCCUAUAUAAACUUGCUAGCACUCUAGGGGAAGGAUGUGUCUUUGAGAGGUCUGGGUGCUUGUUUUCCUGUGUGGCUCUAUUGCUAGUCCCAGGUCUGAAAUGACUGAGGUUUGAACUUAAUGUCUGGAGUGGAUUUAGUUGGAACCCCAACGUUAUUAGUUGUGGCCAUAAGGCUGUCACAGGACACCUCAGAGGUGUGGUGGAAUGAGUUCUGUCCUCUCCCUGGUUUCCAAGCUGCCAUCCAUUUGUCAGGACUUGGCUUCUAUGUCACCUCCUCUGCCAAGCCUUUCUUAAGCACUCCUCCAGGCUUGGGCUGAAGUGUUUUCACAUCUCUUUGUUCAUAGCUGGGUAAUUGUACUUAUCACAGUAUCUUGUCAUUUAUCUGUCUCCCGCCUUCUCCCUGACCAGGCUGGGAGCGCCUUGAGGGCAGGGACUGUUUUGAUUUGUCUGUUUGUUCUCAGGGACUACUGCUUGGCACAGCUCCAACUCAGAAGUGUCCUGGAUUCUCAGCUAAGGUAUGGAUGGGUGGAUGGAUAAGUGGAUGAGCAAAUGGAUGGACAGAUGGGUGGAUAUAUAGAUGGGCAGAUGGACGGGUGGGUGGAUAUAUAGACAGAGAGAUGGACAGGUGGGUGGAUAUAUAGACAGAGAGAUGGAUAGGUGGAUGGAUAUAUAGACAGAGAGUUGGACAGGUGGAUGGGUAGGUGAGCAGAUGAGACGGAUGGAUGGAUGGCUGUAUUUGCAGAUGGAUAGAUGGGUGUUGUUUUUGUUUCAUUUCUGUUGCUGUGAUUAAAAACCCUCACAAGAAGCACCUUAGGUGAGAAAGGGUUUCUUUUAUCUUACAAGCCCAGUGUCACAGUGCAGAGAGAGAGAGAGAGAGAGAGAGAGAGAGAGAGAGAGAGAGAGAGAGAGAGAGAGAUCUGCAUGUUUGCUUAUGCUCAGCUUGGGUUCUCUAUUCUUACUCAGCUCAGUUCUCGGUGCCCUGCCUAGGGAAUGGUGCUGCUCAGAGUGGGCUGGGUUUUCCCCACAUCAGCUAAUCUAAUUAAGGCAGUCCCCCAUAGACAUAACUACAGACCCGUUGCAGACAAUCCUUCAUUGGGACUGUUUCUAGGUGAGCCUAUGUUGUGUCAAGUUGACAGUUAAAACUAACCAUAAUUGAUGGACAGGUGUGUAGCUGAGCAGAUGGAUGAAUCGAUGACUAUAUAGAUGGACAAACAGAUGAACGAUGAACAGAAUGAGGGGCAGACCAGCUGCUGUGAGGAUGAAUGCAGACUGCCGGGUGGGUGUCAUGUGCUCAUAUCAACCCUUAGAACCCCGAAACAACAGCUUCCUCCAAUGACUCUCUUCCUGGGCAGUGAGUGGAUGCUAUAGUAGUCUCCAGGGAAUUCAGAGAUGAGGGAGCAGGAAGUGUGGGUCUCUGGGUAUAGGACCCUAGGGAAAAGCUGCUUUAGCCUGGAGGAGCUAAUGUUCUUCCCCAUCAUAAAUGCUACAGUGAGGAGGGAAGGGUGAGUGCAUAUCCUUCAUUGCUGGGGGCUACUCUGUGAGAGAUCAGACAGAGAAGGCCCCAAGUGUGCUGUGGGCACAGAUGGGAGGAACUCAAACCCACUUCUAGCUUUGCAGUAGGCGGCCUGAGGCGUGGCAGAGGCCAAGAGCAGCCUGGAGGGACAGAAGUACCAGGUCCUUUGAGGUUUAAUAACAGCUUCCCCCACACUCUCCUGAGCCUUUGAAAAGCCUCUGCCCUCAGUGCUUGCAAGUCAGGAAGCCUGUCCCAGACUUGUCCUUUGUCCCUCAAGGAAAGCUCAUGCUGCAUUUGAUAUGGCUCCAGGGACAGAGGCAGAAAGAACACUCACUGCUCUUGCCCAGCAGGGAAAGGGAGCCGAGGCUUCAUGUAUGCAAAUUCUCUUAGCCACUGGGCCUUCCUCAGUCAUGAGAACGCCUGUGUUUUGAGGCCGGUGUUCUGAGCCUGACUUCGUAGGGAGGUGCGUGGCCAUGACACUAAUGUGGACUGGCCGGCAGGAAGAGGUGCACCUGCUAGGCAGCACCAGGGUUCCUGGGCUUCUGUCAGUAUUACUCGGGAUGGACAGACGGCUCUGAGGCCUGAGGAGGGGAUAAGAGAAGCAGAAUUAUAGCAGACUUCCUGUACUUUGCCUCAGUUUCCUCUUGAAAGCUCUGAAGAGAAAGGACCUGCUUUGUUGUCUGAGGUCUUUCCUAUUUCCCAAAGUUGAGAGUCACCUAGCCUCAGUGGCCCUGAAUACCCACUGUGGGGGUCGCUCUCUGUCAACGCAUGCUGAGAGUCAGGGAUGUCUAUUUUUUUCUUUUCUCUUUUUCUCCUCUUCCUUUCCUUCCUCCUUUUCCCUUUCCUCCUUCUCUUCCUCCUCCUCCUCCUCCUCCUCCUCUUCCUCUUCCUCCUCUUCUUCCUCCUUCUUUCUCCUUCUUUUAAGACAAGAUCUCUCUAUGUAGCCUUGAAUUGGCCUAGAACUUGAUUUGUAUCCUAGGUUGGCCUUGCAUUUACAGAGAUCUACCUGCUUCUUCCUCUGGAGUACUGGGAUUAAAGGCAUGCAUUAUCACACUUGGCUAGGAAUUUUCUUUCCCUUCCUGACACUGAUGUGCAGAGCCCUGCCUACCUGGUCCCUCUUAACUUUCUCGGCUGCCCAUCCUGCAUGUGCCUGGCUCCUCCUGAGUUGUCCUGAUUAACCCUCAGUCCUGUGCUUUGCUUGUUCAUGAUGGCCCUCCUGGCAGGGCUCAUGUUCAUAGGCCAUAUGGUCAGAUGAUGUCACCGUGAAGGUGCCCCUUCGUCUGGCAGAGGAGGAGACCUGAAAAGAAGGGUUUAGGCUGUCCCUCAAGAGUAACUCGCUACCUUCUCCCUUCUGUCCAGGUUACCAAGCCUGAGUUUGUAGCCGCCCUACUCCCUUCUGUUCCCACACUUCACCCCUCUGCUGGUGCCAUGAGGGUGAGUGUAGUAUGAGUGUGCGUGGGUGUGUUCAGUGGCUGUGUAAAUGGGAGUGUUGAGUUACAGCGGCUGUGUGUGUAUGUGUGUAUGCAUGUAUAUGAAAGGCACAAGAAAAAGUGAGUGUGCAAACAUGGGAGGGUCGGGUAGAGCCUCACUCUGUGUGUGUGUGUGUGUGUGUGUGUGUGUACAAUUGUGUUUGCUUGUGUGACAAUCUAUGAGAAUGUGGAGAAUGAGGAUGGCAUGUACCUUCUGGUGAGUGUGUGAGUCUGGGGACCCAUGGCUCCUGGUUGCAUGUUCACAUGUGCAUGUUACAUAAUCAUGUUACAGUGUGGCUAUGUAGUCCAUUCACUCAUUAUCUUGCACUCACAUUCUUGUGUGUGGGAGCUCAGGUCUAAAGCAGAAUCCUCUCCCCACAAUGGGCAGCAGGGGGAGAGACAGAGACCAGGUUAUAGCCCUCUGGUAUGUGGCAGUGUCUUGUGCCAUUAGAUGCCUCAACUGGUAGGAGUGCAGAGGUGAUCUGAGACCAUGUACUGGAGGGUCAGGAAGGGCCUCCAGUGUGAAGGUUGCACGCUGUGAACAUUUGUGCAAUUAAGCAGCAGAGAGCAGUGGUCAAGAGCUUGGCUUGGAGGCUCAGCUCUGCUGAUUAGUAGCUAUGCGACUUUAGGAAAAUACCUCCAUACCUCUGUGCCUCCAGAUGUGCAGACUGAGAAUGGCCAUGGUCUCCUCUUCUAGGUCAGAGAGUCCUUAGAACAGUGUCUGGAACAUGGAAAAUGCUCACCAAGUAUUCCCUGCCGUAAUCGCUUUCCUGUGCCUGGUGGUGUGAGAGGUGAGCAGGAGUGGACAUGAGGGAAAGAGUGGGCAGAGCAGCCAUCAGUAGGCACUUCCGUGUACCCCACAGUAGAGUCUGUAUGGACAUGUAGGGCAGGGUGAGAAUGUCAUGUUUGUAGGCAAGGGUGUGUGCAUUUGUGUGUGUGUGUGUGUGUGUGUGUGUGUGUGUGUGUGUGUGUACCAUGCCCAUGAUAGCCCAGGUGACUGCAGGGUCUGUGAAGUGUGAAGAGAGGACUGUGUAUGAAUAUAUGAUUGUGUGCAUUAGGAUUGCAGUGGAAAUGUGACCGUGGCCAUGUGCAACUGUGCACUAAGGCAGGCAUGUGCCCUGUGCAGGGCUAGGGCAGGCACAGUCACAGCAGCAUGUGAGCCAGGGUCUGCUAGGUCUUCUUGGGGAAUGGUGGUCUGUAACUGUAAUGGGAAUGGCAGGUCCUGGAGAGGGCUUUUGGUUGUCAAGGGCCGUCCUUGCUCUAUUUGUUAGCCAACAGCUGACUCCCCUCAGCAAUCUCCCAUUCCCUACCCCUUCCCUCCUGUUCAGCCUCAGAUCUGACUCCUUAUACUUUCCUUUCCUGCCCCUCUUCCACACUGCUUAGUGGAACUCUGUUCUGUCUUUCACCAUGCCUGACCAAUGAAUGACUGGCUUGGAAAGGCUAGUGACUUUCCCUCAGAGACUUUGCCAGGACUGAGGGCAGAACACCAUCUAAUUCCUGCAUGGCUCUCGAGGUCCCUUAAAUAAACCACCUCAGGCCCUUCUCCAACUUCAUCCCAGAGGGUGCUCUGUCUGCCUUUCUAACAAGACCCCAGGUGCACACCGGAAGAGUAAGGACCCAAGGCUUCUGGCUGGGGACUCAGUGGCCUUUCUCAAGAACUGCUUCUCUUCCUGCUGUCCUUUCUGGAUGGUGGGUUGAACUCUGUUUUCCUGGAGGCCAUAGGAGAAGGUGGAGUUUGACACUGGGUGGGUCUGGAGGAUUAAAUUCAGCACACCUGGUCUAAACCUUGACCAUCUACCCAGACAAGCCAGGGUUAGCAUGUAUAGGAAACAUGGCUUUGGGGCAGCUGUCCUGACUGGAUUGGUGGAGCUAAUGACACCAAAUAUUGAGAAGCUAGGUCAGAGUGGGGAGGACCUGGAAACAGUCUGGAGGACAGAGCUUGGCUAUUGUCAUGGACUGAUCAAAGUACAUCCUGCCGGAUUCCUGGCUGUUGCCAACUCUUUGGACCGGUAACUAUUCUCCAGAAGGGACUUUGUUCAGUGUGGUAUCCCCCUUACCUGAGACAACUUGGUACCUAAUGGGCACACAGUGAACUUAGGGCAUAACUCUCCCUGACCACGUCUCUCAUGUCAUGGCAUAGCUAAAUGAGUUUGACAGACAGAAAGCCACAGAGACAGGUGGAGUUUGAAACCAGGGCCCGGUCUAGGCCUGGAUACACUACAUGACUCGACUGAAGCAUCUUCCUGCCCCCCUUAGUUUUUCCCUUUAAGCAUGCUGGGUAGAGAAAGGGGGGCUGUGGCUUGGUUCUUCCUGUCAGUCCUGCAGCCAUAAAGUCAGACCCUCGAAGGGAGCUCUCCUGAGAAGCUCAUGAAGACAGGUCAGGCAUGUGAGUGCGUGGAGAGCCAUGUUGGACUUACUGAGUGGCAGCACAAGAGGCCUUCCUCUCAAGAUGUGUGCCGAGCCCGGGUAUGAACUACAAAGCCUCUGGAAUCCAGGCGCUCUGGAGGAUAGACGUUCCCUCCAUUUCUCUUUCUCACCUCCAUCCCUCCUCCCGUCUUUGAGCACUGUAGUCUUAGGAACUGUGGUAUGGCCUCCCUCUCCUCUGCAGCCCAUGGCUCCCGUCCCCAUCAUUGCUAUGCACGGGCGAUCUAUCUUGCCCUCUCUGGCCCGCCCUUGCUUCAUGAUUCAGCAGCAGUUUCUGCCACUGCUGGCCAGCGACUCCCUCCUGUUUAUGAGUUCAUAUUCCCAGGAGACGAGCUGAUUAACUCAACCAUUCUUUAUGAGCCAGGCCAUAGGGCAUCUGUCUUCGGGUCAAGUGCCUGACCUCUUUAUUCAUCGGCAGAGUCCAGGGAGCACAGGAUGCUGAGUAUGGCCUCCGUUACAGUAAGUUCCCUUGGAAAGAGUAUACACGGGGCAGGCCCAGCACUAGCUCAUGCAGGCCGGGGGCCUUUCUGAACCAGUGCUCUGAGCUCUGGCUUUUCUUAUACAAUCUAAUCUAAUGGCUUGGUGGCUCGUUUCACGAGACCCCAACCAGCCUUUGAGCUUCAAGUGGGUCAGAACUGGGUCAUGAUUCUCAGUCAUAGUCCUAACCCUGAACUGUGGGCUCAAUAACCAUGUCAUUGGUUGCAACAAGAGAACGAAUGUCUCUUUGAGAGCCUACCGCAAAGUUGUGGCUCCGUUGUAGUAAGGGCAGGGGAUCUGGAGUCUCCAGUUCAUCUCAAUUGCAGGUGCAUUUGACCAGAGCUGCGUACCACCCUGUGACUCUAGCUCAUCCAUCUCUCCCCACUGUUCCAGCUGAGUAAGGCAUCAGGGGAAACUGGCUAGCACCAGCCUCUCCGGAGCUGUGGUGAGAUGUGCUCACAGGUCUCCAGCAGAGGUUAUGGCAAGAGGCCAACUCUCCAUUCUUCCCUCUGCCCAGGAUUUUUGCACCGUCUGAGUGUCAACUCCCAAGAGGAGGGAUCUACUUCCCUUUCCUCAGUGGGGCUGCCCAAUCCAAUUGGAUGAUUUGGCCAACUGAACAUAACAGAAGGGACACCGUGCUCCUUCUAAGCCUAAGAAUUCCUGCAGAGGGGCUAGCUAGAAAAAUGGCUCAGUGGUUAAGAGCACCUGCUGCUUUUGCAAAGAACUGGCUUUGAUUCCCAGCACCCACGUGGUGACUUACGGUCCUCGGUAACAGUCCCAGCAGAUCUGAUACCUGCUUCCAAGCUCACCAGGCGUGCAUGUGGUGCACACACAUUAGCAUGUAGGCAAAAUAGUCACACAUGUCACAUAGAUAAAUCUUUAAAAAUAAAAUAAAGAAUUCACUCAUGCACAUGCACUCUUGGAAUCCUGCCACUGGCAUACAAACCAGCAUAGUAUGUUAGAUGAUAGGACAUGAGAGGUCAAGUCACCCCCAUCCUCUGACUGAGAACUAGCCUGUGGUUAGGCACUCAACGCAGCCAUCCUAAACAUGAUAGUGGCCCCUUUAAUCCACAGACAUACUAGCAGCCAGGGCAUUGAAGAAGAUUCUCUAUUUAUUGGCCUCAUCUCAACCAUCCCUCCAGCCUCAGAUCUGGUUCCCCAUGCUUUCUUCCUGUCCCCCUUCCACAUGGCUUAGUGGGGCUCUGGUCACAUGUCCACUGCAGUAUCUCAUGUGCACAAGCAUACAUUCACACAUAGUGGGCUAUAUUCACACACUGGUAAAAUAUAAAAGGAAAAUUGUUACAUUUAGCUCACACGAUUAAUCUGAGUAGUCCAACUGUGGCUGCACACCAGACAGGCUGAGUCUGGUAGCUGCUCCAUCCACAUGCUUCCGUAGUCCCCAUCUGAUGCUAGAGAUUCAGAGAUUCCUGGAGAUCUACUGGUCUUUGGACCACAUGUAACCCCAAGAAGUUAGGUUUCGAGACCCGUGGCAAAGGGAUGCAAUAGCAGCAUCGGCAGCAACAGAGUAGAUGAACUCACCAGCAAGACACAAAGGCAAGCAAGCAAAAAGAACAAAGCUUUUUUCCCCCUCUGAGACCGCAUUUAUCUAGGCUUGCAACAUAAGAUGCUGUCCACAUUUAGAUGGGAGGAGGGGUUAGGGGGUGUUCACACUUUAGUAAACCCAGCAAAGAAAACUCCUCACAGGUUUUGCCCAGUGACUUGCCUCUUAGCUGGUUCUCAACCCAAUGAUGUUGACAACCAAAGAUGAGCAAUCACACUCAGCCAAGGUCUGACCCAGAUCCUGAGUGAUAAUGCGUGCUUAGAUUGCUGUAAGCUGCUGAGUCAUAGAGUGUUUGUUACGCGGCAGUAGCUUGCUGAUACACCUCCCCAUGCGGAGACCUCAGAGGAUGUGUUGGCAUUCGCUUUCUAGCUCGGUCCCUGAGACUAGGGUGGUCUGCGCAGGAAGGUUGGAUUGAAAAUGUGUUUGGACCCAAGAUGCAAUGAUGACUCGGUAUAUUGAUAGAUGCCCUGUAAUCUGGGUGCGGAGCGUGCCAGGCAGCUGCACUUCCUGCCACUUACAGAGAAUUUGCUGUAAUGCAUUGUGAGGCAUUAGCAUAAUAAUUGCUAAGCAUUCGCAAAUGAAUAGCUCACUGACUGAUGGAUUUUGUACAGAAUCUGUGAAGGUUACAUCGAGGGUGAAAACAUUUCACUGUGUCAAUGAACAUACUUAAUUUCUCUGGAAGUGCUAUUUAAAUUGCGUCGUGCUAUGACAUUAGCAUAACAAAGACAUAAUGCAUUCGUUUAUGCUGUAGUAGGGAACACUGCCAUAAUCAGCGGACGUGACGGAGGCUGUGUGCAGAGGGGUCUGAGAGAUGCGGAGGGCCGCCCUAUUGGGUCUCUUGGCCGGGCAGGGGAGGCGCUGCCCUGUGGGUCCCGCCCUCCGACUCAGCUCCAGAUGGGGCUCUGGGGCUCGCUUGGUGGGUGGACUCUUGCUUAUUGCCUUGUUUCCUUUUCGCUGAUUUUUCUCUUCUUGCUGCUCUGGCCACCAAGUCCUGCUAAUGGGUGGGUGGGUCUUGGCUGUCAGCAGAGAAGCCCUCAGGAGAAUUAGGAAGCAUUCAAAUCUGGCAGGAUUCAUCCGCCCCCUUCAGCAGGGCAGGACAGCCUCCCUAGAAUCAGCCAGCUGGUCCAGAGAGCUGUGCUGCGGGACCUCAAUCUCUCCAGCCCCCUCCCCUGAAAGUGUCAUCAGAGCUGUCACAAGAAGCCUCACAGGGAAUGGCUUUAUUACCUCAAUUUUCAACAUGUUCUGCAUAUCUGGCUCUUCGAGGGGGAGUGUCAGGGGAAGAGAGUCUGUUAAUUGAGUAUCUACUGGCCUGCCAGACACUGAGCUAUUUUGGAACAUACCAGCUCGGCUCAGGCUCCACAGCCAGCUGUGCACCGGAUCAGGGCAGAUUGGUGAGUUCAAGGUCCAGCACUGGCUUCCUUUUAUGCAGAACUUGUCAGAGCCUUUAGCAUAAUGACUUACAGGUUCUCCAAGAUAGAGGCAGAAGGGUUUCAGAUCUUGAAGUCAGCAGAGCCCGGUUUGGGAGGGGAAUUUGCAGGGAGCAGGUCAAUGGCCCACAUGGGAUCUGAUUCCUUGUCUGCUUGACUUCGGCAGCAAGCAGGUUUCUAAGGCGAAAGGAGACUGACAGCCAUUUUUAUUGGGAGAGACAGCUGGGAACAGUGGUGAAACCUGCUGGUUAUACCACCUUGGACACUUCUCACUGUAUUGUUGAGGGAGAAGGAACAGACUCUGUAGGUGCUGGGGGAUGUGGCUCACGGGAGUGCACAAAUGGAGAGGAGAUGGACCAGUCUAUGCUGCCCAGGAAGCAGGGCUCCUAGGAAAGUUCAUGAAAAGUCCCAGUGCACAGGUAAUGUUUCACACUCCUGAGGGAGUGAGAGAGGAGCUGGGAGAUCUGAGGACCAUGGUCAGGAGAUGGGACCAGCUUCUGUUGUCUCCUCAACUAAGAGAAUACGUUGAGAAGCUGUUGGUUUCAAAGUUUCUGAGUUCCCAUCUUUGUGGUGGGUUGUGGUAUAUCUGGAGAGUGACCGAACUUGUGGGCUCCUUAACCCUCUCUUGUUAAGAUGGCAGGCACCUGGAGGAAGGGGGAGCUUGAGGGGAACCCUGUUCACUUGGUUUCACCCCCUGUCAGCUAGAGAGUCUCUCUGUCUAAGGACUCACUGGGUGGUUUCAUAUCGUUCUGUGAAACAAAGAGAGCUGUGAAUGCCUAGGCACGAGGCCCCGAAUGCCCUCUUGGACUGAGACCUGGCAAAGAAGAAAAGGCAGCAAACCCUCUGCUAGUUUUCAGAGAUUCUCCUAGGAGCCUUAGGUGGGUCAGUAACAGCUCAUCUUCAUCCAGCAUCUCACACACUCACCCUCCUACCCCCCACACUGCCCCCCACCCCACUCCUGCCACUCAGGAGAGCUCCUGGGAGAACUCGGGAGAGCACAGAGCUUCCUUCUUUGAGUCUGACUCUGCACAGCUGAAGUAGCUCUUGCCUACUUUGAAUUCCUCUCUUCCUAGAGACCUCUGUGCUUGCCCCUCCUUCCCUUCGCAUCAACAAUUUGUAUUUACCAGACACACACUACUUGCGGAAGUCUGGGACACCAGGAGGAACAGACUUGGGGGUUGCUGCUCCUUGACCCACAGGCCAGCGGGGAAAGCAGUCAGGGAAGCAUUUGGUGUCACUGAAGGCACGGCUAGGUUGCCUGUGUAGCCCACAGCGAUGCAGGACAAGGCUUCUCUGAUGUUCACGGGCAUCCCACCUUCCUGCUUUCCCCUCAUACCAGCACGCCAUCUGCCUUUAAGUAAGCUUAAAAUCUGCUUGUCGAUUUGCUGUGCUUGGCCUAAGCAACUCUGUCUGUGAAAUAGUGGGUCAGGAUUUAUAAAAUAUGCAUAGCAUGAUUUUACCAUUUUUUUAAGUGUACAGUUUAGCGGCACCGAGUGCAUUCUGGUGUUGUAUAACGGUCACUACUGUCCAUUUCUAGAACUUUCCUACCAUCUCGCAUAGAACCAUCCUCCCAUCCCCCCUCUCUCCCACUGCUCACUCGGGCUCUGGUAACCUCUCCUCUACUCCCUGUCUAUGAGUCUAUAGUAGGUACUUCCCAUAAGUAGAAUAAAACGAUGCAUGCCCCUUUAUGUCUGGUUUGCUUUGCUGAAGCAUCUUUGAGGUUAAUCUGUGUCGUGGUGCAUUGCCAUCCUUUCUGCAGGCUUAGUUGCAUUCCGCUAUGUGUCUGGACCACGUUGUGUGUCUGGACCACCUCAUUUAUUUGUUGGUCAGGAAGGGACGUUUACAGUGUGUGUUUUAACCCGCGUUCCCAUGACCCCAUCCCCGUUGGAAUUCUUCAUGGCUCUGUGUGACCAUUGCUUCUGAGAGUAGAAGUUCAGAUGAGGACAUGAGCGCAGGUGACUUAUUCAGGAAGAGAAGCAGGAGUGAGGAGUGGAGACUGUGUGGUGGGAGAGGGAUCAAAGCCAGUAGCAUACUGAGUUGGUUAUUGCUGUGGGCAAUUGGGGCUCACUCUUAAUAAGGUUUGAAGAACCGAGUAGACACACCUCAGACUCAUCCCGCUGGAGGGCAGAAGGCUGACACACAUCUGCAGUCCCCAGCCCUCCAUGCUGUACCCUCCUCCUCCCCCAAACUGAGAAAAACAGCAGAGCCCAGUGCAGGGAACUGUCCACUACAGCUGUGCUGAAAUCAGGUGAGUCUCGGAUGCUGUUGACCGUCCGUGAACACCUGCUGUGCUGCCUAAAAACACUUCGACACCUCAACCUGGGCUUGGAGAGGGCUGCUCCUUAAAGUGACAGGCUAAUGUCUGGACACAGAGCAGGGGCUGGCCUGACUGUACAGAAAAGAGCAUCUCAAGCAAAGACCCAGGCACAGAUGUAACAAGCUUAUGCCCUGGGUGGGAGACAAACCCUGCAGGGAGGUCUCUGGCUGUCCCUAAAGCUGUUGGAAUUCCUGAGGGGAUUUUAUACCUAGGAAGGGAGCAUGUGUGAUAGGAUCAGUCAUCUAGAAACUGGCUCUUCUUCUAUUGGCUUGGAGCAGAUGCCCAGCUGGCAGGGCCUACUAAGCCUUUACUUGCGUCCCAGGGAACCCCAGCGAGAGUCACCCUCAAAUCUUUGUACUUUGGGUGUCAAUGGACACCUGAUGGGCAAAGAUGACAUUGAUAUUGGUGAUAACCUAACCGGGCAAGUUGGACUCCUUGGGGACCCUCAGCUGAGCUCAGGGCCCUCUUUCAGCCCAAGGUGUAGAGGAAAAUCUCUCACAGAAUUGAAUUCCUCCUCUACUGUCAGCCAGCUUGAGCAAAUCACAUCUCCCCUCAGCUUCGGUUUCCUGGUCUGUUGAAUAGGAGUAUCCAUGCCUAGUGUAGAUGGCUAUUGGGCAGACCCUACAGGAAAAAUUUUACCAUAAACAGGGGUCAAGACAUGGACUUGGCUCCUUGAACUUGGGUCAGCCGGCCUGACAGGAAGUGGGAGGAAGUCCUGGAGGUGGUAGGACCUUGUUGGGAUAAUAUCCAUUUCUCUAGGGCCCGUUCCUCCAUUGGCCCUCCUACCAUGCGAUUACCAGACAAGGGCACUGAAUACUAGGCAGCUUCUUCAUCUAGAAGCUGUCUGGGGUAGGGUGCACCUACUAUGUCCUUCCAAGAAGCUGACACCAAGAAGACGUGGUCCAUUCCGAUCGAAUCUAUCUAUAUCCAGCCUUGUCUGGAUCUUGAGGCCUAUGGAGAGUAGAGUUCUUGCAGGCCCCAGAACAUUCCAACCAACGUGGGAGUCCUGUGAGGCUGCUCUUGGGACUCUUAACUUAGGUCUGGUAGAGUUUCUUCCAAAAUAGCCUUGUUGAGUGGCAAGCAUAUGGAGGAGCCCUAUGAAGACAGAUUGGGAGCCAUAUCCUGCAGAGCUGUCGGGAUGCUGACUGAAACUAAGUAAGCCGUCCAUGCUUCUUCAAGCUCUCCUCUGCCUGGGUCCCUGAUUCAUUUCUGUUCAGAGAAAUGUUUUACCAUUGGUGCGGUGCAGGGGGUUCUGACUGCAGCGCUGCCAGGCCCUGGGAGGGGGUCUACUCUGUAGAGAGGGGCACUGAGGACUUUCCCCUGCAUACCCCAAACAGUGUAUUAGGUCUCUCAACUCCAGACUCCAUUCACAUAAUGAACAGAAGAAAAAGAGGGGGGAAAGUGGCCAGUGGUGACUCUGUCAGAGAAGAGGUGGCAGGAUCAUCUUUUGCACCACAACCCACCUGGAGAUCUGGAAUGGAGGGUUGGAGCUGCUGAGAGCCACCCAGCAGCCUUCCUAGAAUCAAGGCAAGCUCUUGGCCUCUGUGUGUAAACCCCCCAACCCAGAGAAAGCCACUGUCGAAAACCCUGCUAACUAAAAUCAUAGCCUACCAUCUUUAGAUAGCUCCUCCCAGCUAGGUGCAAAAUGGAGGAUUCCCAUUACCAGCAGGACUUCCCCUUUUCUGAUCUUGUCUCCAGAACCCAGCCCCCCACACUCUCUACCUGGGGAAGGUCAAGAAGUCCUCAGCAGACCUGCAAGUUCAAAUCACCCCUCCAUAAGUACUUGCCCAGCAAGUACCUGGGAUUCCUGGAGUGCCUCUCCACACAAAUGAGGCAUUCACAGGACUUCAAGCUCUAGCCAUUGAUUUUCGUUUACCUGCAAACUCCUUUCCCACCUUCCGAGGUCCAUAUAUAGCCCUGGUUCACCCCCAAUAAAAUAUAUGUGCACAAGCUAAGAUCAUCUAAGAGAGAUGUUUCACUAGAGGUAUUCCACUGAUAAUCGUCAGAGAAGGCCUUCGUCUUAAAGAGCUGUAGCCAUACUAAGUAAGAGACUCGGAGACGACCUGGACCUGUCCCCCACCUCCACUCCCAGGUGGACCAGGAUCCUGCAGAUCCCACCUGUUCUGCACUUCCCAUCAUCCUUCCAGCCUGGUGUGAAAUGGAACGUGGGUACCCAAAGUGGGAGAACAGAGGAUGAGGAACCACAGCUGGUCCCCGACACACAGGCCACACCACUUGCUUAUUUCUCAUCUUUCCUUGCGGUGCAAACAGAACUGGCACCAUGUUGAGUUUAGAAGCCCAAAUCAAAAUAGCUUAAGCAAAAGGAAGUAGCAGGCUGCCGCCAUCGGACAGUCUAGGUGCCGACUGCUUUAGGAAUUGCUAGAACUAGAGGAUCAGGUCGUAACAAUCUUUACUAUUUCUGUGAGACCCAGAUGUAGCUUUCCUCUACUCUUUCUGUAGCACAGGCUUUUGUCCAUUUGUGUGAAAGACUUUCCCUCUGCCAAGCCUCAUGGAAGACUCUCAAAGCUGGUCACAUGCCCAUCCUGGAGUCCAUGUCUGGGCCUAGAAGAUGACUGCUGACUUGCCAGCUUGGACAAUUACCCAUCCAAUGACCUGGAGAAAGUGCACCAUGAUUGACAGCUGCAUUGUGGAGGGAGGGGCCGCAGAAGAGCCAGACUGAGCAUGUCCUGGAGGUCCAGAGAUAAGUCACCCAAGAUCACCCAGCAGCAUACUAGGGUAGGUAAACUAGGUUUUGCCAGGGCCCUGCUUUUUGUGGGUUGGGGCAUCUCUCUUGUAAUAAGUACAUCACCCUGAGAGCUCUUCCUUUGCCUUUCCCAGUGGUCCAGGACCAGGCCAGAGGAAAGAACGGCAUCUUUCUUAGGACAUUUGCAGGCUACUUGAGGGGAGACCUCGUGAAAAGCCAGUUGUGAAGCUAAGAUCCUUAUAACUGGCACUAUAGAGUGGUUUAGAAUUAGGCCCAGUUUGCCUCCAGAGAGUCAGCAGACCCAUUUCUUAGGAACAAAAAGGUAAUGACCGUGGUGCAGAAGACCUGAGGAGGAAGGAUCCCAGGGAAGAAGUGUCAGGAGCCGGUUUGCAAAGAUGAGAUGGAUUUGGGCAGGGAGUGCCAGGAGAGCAGAUGGCACGCAACUGAGUUCAAUUGCCUAUCCACCCACUAGAUCUAUCCAUCCAUUAUUCUUCCAUCCUAUAAAACAUUUAUCAACUGUGACUUGUGCUCUGAGAGCUUACCAUGGUGGCUAAGGCCAUAGAACCUGGAGGCUGAUGAUGUGGGAAUGAGCCAGCUAGGUGACAGAGCACUGGAGGGUCUUAUGGUUAGUUUUUAAUGGUGAACUUGACACAAGAGAGUUUUAAUUGAGGAAGAGUCCAGAUCUAGUUGGACCAUGAACCUGUCUGGGAGGAAUUGUCAUGAUUGUUAAUUGAUGUGGGAAGUCAAAGCCCACUAUGGGCAACACCAUUCCCUAGGCAUGUUGUCCUAAACUGUGUAAGAGAAAAGAAACUAAGCAAGCAAGCAGAAUGCGUGCUGUUAUUGCUCUCUGCCCUUAAUGAGCUAUAAUGUGACAAGCUUCUUCUGGCUCCUGCCAUUGUGACUUCUCUGUUACGGUGGCCUGUGAGUUGGAACUGUAAGACGAACUCCUUUCUCCCCUGCAUUGCUUUUUGUCAGGAUUUUUUAUCACAGCAGCAGACACAAAGCUCAAACAGUUCUCCUAGGUCAGACAAGGGAGUUAGGAGUAAAGUCAUCUUCUACAGUUCUAAGGGAGCUUUGAGAUGCAGAAGCUGUGUUGUUAAUCUAUACAAUCUCCUCUGUUCCUGCCCUCUACAUCUUUGGUUCCUUAAAACACGGGUCCCUAGCAAGCGAUAGCUGACAUGUCCAGUGUCUGUCUUAUCUUCCACAUGAAUCAGCUCUGUAUGUCACCCUCACCCUGUACCCUAGCACUGGGGAUGAGGCUCUUGUUACAUGCUACCUCAUGCUCAUGUUUGGUUUCAGUUGAAUCAUUUUGGCUUAUACAAUAGAGUUAUACACACAUUUUUAGGUUUCUGUGGAUGACUGUGAUUUUUUUGUAAGAACGUUGUACUCUAAAUGUGUCUGAAAAGACCGAAGUUAGGACCCAAGACUUCAUGGACACUGAGCCUCCUUGAGAAGUCUGUAUGUCCGAAUGUUCAUUUGGCCAUCUUCUCUGCAAUGAAGGCUUUCCUGGCAUCCUCAGGAAAUACAGUCUCACUAUAGUGAGUGCCCUCCACUCCAGGCACAUAGGUCACCCAAUACACCCCCCACUCUAUACUGUCCCAGCUUGAGGGGUUUCAUUUGUAUACUAAUAAGGCUUAGCCACGGGGUUGGGGAUUUAACUCAGUGGUAGAGCGCUUGCCUAGCAAGCGCAAGGCUCUGGGUUCGGUCCCCAGCUCCGAGAAAAAGAAAAAAAAAUAAGGCUUAGGCACAUAUCUGACAGUAUGGCCGAUGCUAACAGUGAGUGGGGGAAUGUUGGAUGAUGGAGCAGAUCUACCACGGACUAUACGUGGAAGCCUGAGACAACAGUUUGUUAGUAACGUACUCACUGUACAACAUGAGGACCAAGUCUGGCCCUAGUCUCUGCGUAAAAAGCUGUAUUCCAGAGUACGCAUCCCAAGACUGGAGAAGCAGAGAUGGGGAGGUCUUCUGGGCUUGUUAAAGAUCUAGCCAAGUUUGUGAUCUAAGUGAAAGACCCUGUCACAAACUAUAAGGUAAAGACAGUGGAUAUUAACCUCUGGCUUCUCCACUCACAUGCAGCAGCACAUGUGUAUGUGUGUGCAUGCGCGCGCAUGGGUGCGUGUGUGUGUGUGCAUGUAUGCGUGUGCAUGUGUGUGUGCAUGUGUGUGUGCAUGUAUGUGUGCAUGUGUAUGUGUGUGCAUGCGCCUGCAUGGGUGCGUGUGUGUGUGUGUGUGUGGGUGCGUGUGGGGGGGUGUGAGUGUGUGCGUGUGUGCAUGUGUGCGUGUGUGUGUGUGCAUGUGUGUGUACAUGAGCGUGUGUGUGUGCAUGUAUGUGUGCAUGUGCAUGUGUGUGCAUGUGCCCGCAUGGGUGCGUGUGUGUGUGCGUGUGUGUGAAUGUAUGCGUGUGCGUGUGUGUGUGCAUGUGCAUGUGUGCAUGUGUGUGUGCAUGUGCGAACAUGGGUGCAUGUGUGUGUGCGUGUGUGUGCAUGUGUGUGUACAUGAACAUGUGUGUGUAUUCACGCAUAUGCACAAACACCUAUGCAUUUACAUGCACAAAAAAUAAAUAAAAAUUAAGAAGACUUUAUGCAGGAGAAAUUAGUUUGUCAAGAUUGGAAUUCUGUAACCAAAACCAAAAGACCCCAGUUCUAUUUCCAGGUGGCAGGCUUGCCCUCCUGGUAGUCACACUGGAGGAGCUGGUCUCAAGAGUAUGCAGUGACACCAUCGUCACUAGAAUAAGUCCCCUCCAAUAGUUUGUGAGGGGGAAUGGCGAUCCCCUGAGUUAUCUGUAUCUGUUUCUCUCUUCUUCCUGUGGCUGCUCUGGCUGGCUCCCUCGUAGCCUCCAAGAAGACCCCUGGACAGAAACCUACCUGUGUGGACUGUGUUGUUGAACGAAGGCAUUUUCUAGCAAGCCUCUUGGGAGUCAGAGUCAUUUGGGGCAAGAGGAGGUGGUGUUUGCUGUCAUCCAUGAUUCUGAUCUCCCGAGGGAGGCUGAAAGAGCUGUGUUUGGGAGCCGGCAUGGCACUGGGCACUUUGAUGAGGCUACAGCUUUAACUGGUCCCCUGGAGAGGGCAGGGAGGGCUCUGUGCCUGGGCUCUGUCUCUGGGAUGAGUCACUCUGUUUACUCACACCGAGGACUGUCAACAGCAGGGGACAAGUAUGAUUUAGAUGGAGGUUUCAGUCCCCAGAGUUGACUAGUGACACGUCUCUCCCUGAGGCACGUGAUGGUAGAGAAAUGAGCCAUGCAGCCUUCCAGUUAGUGGCCUGGGAGUCUUGGCAAGAGCCUUAGGAGACCAUGGCUGCAAUUGGAGCCAGGUAUGGGGAUGGGAAGUGGGGUUUGUUCCCAUUGUAAGGAGAACGAGGCCACUGAAACCAUAGGGAUGCUGACAGUUGGAGGGGGAAGCUGGACCUCUGGAAGGAUGGGGGUAAUUUUAUUUGAGCUGUCCACAAGUGACCAUAGAGAACGGCUAAGAUGCUUCCUGCUCAGAGGAUGGGGAUGUCUUAACCUGGGAUGAGACUAGCCAACCGAACCCUGAGUGAGAUGGUCCUGCCUUGUGUCAGGGUAGCAAGCGCCAACCCCAUAGCAACCAGGGAGUCUUUCCUGUGGGCGAUGGUGGGGCAGAGGAGGCAGGAGAUGAAAGGGAAAAGGAUAAAAGGCAAGCAAGAGAGUUUGAAGAGUCAUAGAGAAGAAAAAAAGAGUUGGAUAGAGGGCUGAAAAGAGGAAGAGGGUGAGAGGAAAUAGGAGACAGAGGGGGAGAAGAAGGAACCUUCCAUACCCCCAUGGUAGGAAUUCACAGAGGUUUUUCUGCUCCUACCUGAGAGAGAGAUGCUGAGGACGGUCUGUGCCAGUGAGGUCACCUCCACCAUGCAUGCCUGCUGACAGAGCUGGUGAGCCUCUCAGGCAGCGCAGGCUGAAUCUCGUCUCUGGUCCAUGCUCUUGGCCCAGGCGAUUCAAGACAGGCUCCCUGGCAGUGAAAAUCAUGACCACACUGUUAAAAAUUGCAUCUGCUGAGAGCUCGCUGUAGCUCCAGAUUUGCCAUCUCAAUGCCCUCUCAGAAGAAUGCCCUUCAGUUCAGAGUUCGUUAGGCAGAUGAGUAAGCAGAGCCUUAGAAUGUCUAGGUAACCUGCCUGUGAAUGGCCAAGCUGGGCUGCUAACGAAGCACUCAGGAGCAUCUCCCUGACCCUUCUCCGUGUAUAUGACCCUUCUGCAUCUUCUGGACUCUUCUGUAUGACCUAGUGUGCCAAGUGUCACCCUCCAUCCCGUGUCCUCUCUGCCUCUUGUGCUCUCAUUUUGUGCCCUUCCAGGCCUGGACUGUGGUCUUGCCUCCUGGUCUUGAUCCCUCCAGCUGACGACAGCUGAACUUCACUCUCUGCUCUUUCCUCACUAACAGGGUCCUGUGCCACAGGAGGUAGGGACCCCUGCCACACUGCAACUGGGAGCUGCUGUGCUCAGAGGUCAGAAGGUCAGGCUAGGCCAGGCCAGAGGACAAUGAAUGGGAAAUACUCAGGGCUUUGUUGGGACCAGGAGGGAGUCUUGGGCUUCAGAGCUCACAUUCCCAGAUCUCUUAGCUGACCAUGGAAAAGGGGUGGCAGGAGCUGGGGGGUGAGAACUCUGGCCUGAAGGCUGAUCUGUGUACUGCUGGCUCAUGCACUCUCACCAUGCUCAUCUAAUGGAGUCACUGUCAUCCAGUGGUGAAGCAGGCAGGCUCUGGAAACAGGAUGGCUGGGGCUGCAUACCUGUGUUCUCUGCUAGCUAACGCGAGGGGGGAGCAGAGUUUUAUGCCACCUGCUUCAUGGGGUGUCUGCUUUUCUCCUUCCCUCAGUUUCUCUUUCCCUCCCUUCCUCUCUCUCUCCCUUUUCCUUUCCCUUACCCUCACUCCCUCCCUCUUCUCUCUAUGUGUCUGUCUGUCUGCAUGUGUCGGCAUUCACAAUGCGUGCGUGCGUGCGCGCGCGCACGCACACACACACACGUGCAUGGGCAAGUGUCAGAAGCUGGAGGUUAAUAUUUAUCUUUUUCUAUCACUCUCUACCUUACUUUUGGAGACAAAGCCUCUCAUUAAGCCUAGAACUCAUUAAUUUGAAUAGACUGGCUGGCCAGUGAGCCCCUUGAAUAUUCCUGUCUUUGCUUCCCCAGCUCUGAUGUUUCAGGCACCUGCUCCUACACCUGGUCCUUUUGGAGCUUGCUGGAGAUGGAAGUCAGGUCCCUGUGCUUGCAUGGCAAGCAUUUUACCAAACUGAGUCGUUUCUACAGCUUCCAUGGUGCUGCUGGUCUUUCAAAGAAUUUUUAGCCUCAAUCCAGAGAGUCAAGUGGGACAUUCAUUCCAGCGGGGACAACGUAAGACCUGAUGUUUAACGAGAACACAACAAAUAUCAGUGAUUCCUGUCAUCCACUUAUCUGUCUCCAUCUAGUCAGAAGGCAGGGUUUCAGCUCAGAAUUGGUGUGGAGAAAGUGCUGGGAUGGGGACAGUUUAACUUACCAGUAAGUCUUUGAGGGAUUCAAGGGUGUUUUAAGACAUCCAGUUUCAAGAGGAAGGGGACAGGGCUCUCGAGGGAAUGAGGACCAACUCCUCUAUCAACGCCAUGUGGCCUUUCUUUCAAUCCAGGUACUUGUUUGGCCUUCCGCAGCUCAGGAGGGGUGGACGGCCAUGGCAGUCCUGGCAUCUCUGCUCAGGCCAGUGUUUCAGGAGCUGUCCCUGGUGCUGACCCCCUCACCCAUCCUUGUCCUGGCAGAUCCCUAAAGCAGGCUGACGAAGUCCAAGCUGGCUGCUGAACCUUCCAAGGCCGCCGUUGGCUUGGCAGAGUCUUUAACCUCAGACCAGGCCAACCCAUGGCCUAUGUGUCUGACACUUGGCUGCCGCCUGUGUGAUUCCAUCUCCUGCUUGAGUUGUCACAAGUUCCCUCCGGCCUGGAACUCAGCCUAUGGAGAGAGGGCUAAGGGCUUCUCUCAGGACAACAGACAAGUGCAAAACAGGUGUCACGGGUGUGGCGGAGAAGUGCCACCUCAGCAUGAUGCUUCCCCUGCUAAUGUAGCGCUGUACGGCUCAUCCCUGGAAGGACAGAUUAAUCAUUUCCACCCGGAGUCACCAUCCAGGCCAGAUUUACAGUGUCGGGAGCACGGGAGCCCCCGGACUUUAUGGUCUUGUAAAUUACGGGGCUGCUUGUGCAAGAGGCAGGCUGGGCUGUAAAUCAUGUGUAAUUGCUUGUAAAUUGGGAAACAAAUAGUAUUUUUCCUUAAAUCACCCUCUUUGUAGUGUUUCUUGCGGGGGGGGGGUGGCGAUUGAGGGCUCAUAGAGACCCUUUAACCUUCCUGGAGUUGAAAUACCUAAUUUCAGAGUCUCCCAGGCCAAAUUCCAGGAGGUUGGGAGGCCUUUGGGUCAAAUGGAGAAGAAUUGGCUGUGACUGUCAUAAGUCCCUCUUUUAGGUAGGCUUAACUCACUUUCUCCUGGGACUUCCCUCCUCCCUCCCCCUCAUUUCAAAUUAACCCCAAGAGUCCUGCCCUGCCCCUGGCUAGGGCCUGCUCUCUCCCUGGAUCUGGAAGACAAACCUAAGUGCUCUCCAGAGCAUCCCCUCUGCUCCCUCCCCCAUGCAAGGGCAGAGGCUCGCUAUAGGCCGGGGAAGUGUGGUCUCUGCGCCAAAAUGCUAUUUGCUUGCUUUUGCUCAUCUUCUCUCAUUUUGAUAAAAUUACAUUUAUAAUUUUUUUUUGCCUGCCGUAGUCAACUUUGAAGAGUCAUUAAAUUUGCUGAGAGUCAGUCUGCUAAACUUUAAUUGAAACCCAAAUCACAGGCUCCUAGAAGGUUCAGUCUACUGGGGACCUUGGGGACCGUAUCAUCCAACUCCUUCAUUUGAGAGAAGAGAAAAUAGAAGCCUAGGAUGGGUAAGUGACUUGCCCAAGGUCAGUCACUGAGUGAGGGCGGCUCUGGGAUGAGCCUGGGCCUCCAGUCUCAGGUUCUGCUCACUCUCGCUCGCACACUGUAGGGCCCCUCCACUCAGCUGCCGCUUCCACAGCUCUGCUGUGUGAUAAACGGAAGCAGCAGGCAUUUGUCUUACGAUGGGAGAAUCAGCACCACGUCAAAUCCUUCUCUUGGAAAUGGACACAUUUACAGAGCUUGGUGUGGAUGAGUGCCCCGGGAACUAUGCACCUUCCUGUGGACUACAGAUUACUCCUCGGGCCCCUUGAGGAUUACUCUUUGGUUUAUAUGUGGGGUGUAUGUGCGUGUGUGCUUGUGUCUGUGCGUAUGUGCACAGGCAUGCUUGCAUGUGCGUGUGCAUGUAUGUAUAGGCCAGAGGUUGACAUCAGGCAUCUUCCAUGAUUGCUCUCCACCUUAUUUUUUGAGGCAGAGUCUCCAGGUUGCAUCAGAAGCUCAGAGAUUAUCCAAGCAGGCCUGCCAGCGAACCCCAGGGAUCUGUCUGUCUUUCAACGGCAGCAAAGUUACAGACAUCCAUGCUGCAGUACCCAAGCACUGGGGAUCUGAACUCAGGUUCUAAUGCCUGUAGAGAAGACAUUUUACCAACUGAGCUAUCUCCCUAGCUUAGGAUUAUGUUUUUAAGGGACAUCUGAGACUCGAGCUCAGUACUGCUGGUGUUAGGAGAAUUGGUCACAUCACAGGAACUGUGGACAGGGCAGGGUAAGGGAUACAAAUGGCCUUGAUUCUAGGCUGCUAUAGAUGUGGUUUUGAACAAGUUCUCUUUCCACUGACUUUCCCGUCUAUCCAGCGGGCACCAGGAGCUGCUUUCUGGAGAGUGGCUGUAAUAUCUGUCAAUGAUGGCGCAUGAGAAGGUAUCUAAGUCAGCUUGUGUAGCUAGCUAGCCCUAGCCAUCAGAAGGCUAGAGAUGUUAGCUAGGUGUAAGGAUUGGUGCUUGACCCACAGUGAAAAGAAAGAAGAAAACAGAGAGGUAAUUAUGCUGAGGCCACCUUGUGUCACUUGGAGUUCUUGGAGCUGACUCUUUCCCCUCAGUGUCCUCCUUAGUCAUGUAGAUGUGGCUGUCAUGCAAGGACUCAUGGGUACUCUCACAGAUGCUGAAGCCUCAAAUAUGCCUGCCUAAGGCAGAGGGUAGAGCCACUGGGGGACAUGGCCAAUUCUGAACAGAGAGCAGAGGCACAUCAGCCCCAGGCACACCUCCGUUCCUUCCAGGACUCCUCCACUGCAUCCAACCACUCACGCAGAGGUAUUGGUCGGGGCAUAGCAACCUGGACAGCAUACAAGAGGCCAUUUCCCUGGGGAUGGUUCUAAAGGGCCUGCACUGUCAGAAGUAGGGUGUUCCCACAGUGAGGCCUGCACCUCCUCACCCCUCUGUCUAGAUCACAAGGAAUCUAAGAUAAAAGCAAAGACCAAAUCUGGUUUCUACCACUUCCCGGCUUUGCAGCCUUGGGUGAGUUCCCAAGCCUCUCUGAGCCUUAGAUGUUCAAAGGGAGGGAAUACUGGUACCCAGCUCAGAGAUCUGGCGUGCAGACUCAAUAAGAUAAUGCUUAGAAGAGCCCAGCACGGUGCUGGACAGGAAGUCGUCCUUGACCUCCUGGUCACUUGAGUAACUCGACUACUAAAGCCUUCUCUCAGGCACAGGGGGAGCCAUCAGGAGGUGUGACAGGUUUGACUGCCACGAUCCACCUGGUGUCCUGAGUGUCCUGGUCUCAGAAGGCUGAGCAGAGGCUGUGUUUAUUCCCGGAGCUGUUUUCUCUGCUGCCUGCCCCCUGCCACCUCCUCCAGACACACAGAAAGAGCCAAAUGGGCAGGAGUCCUGCCAGCCUAACAGAGUGGAAGCCUGAGAUUAGCGCCUGCGGACAGACAGAUGGGUGAGGGACACUGGGCAUGCAGCCUACCGUCACUCCAGCCUUCCUGCCUGGGGCCCUGACCCAGGGCUGGCUUGGCCCCAGCUAACAUGGUCCUUUCCAUUUAAUUCCUUCCCAAAUUCUGUCCCCUUUUGUGACACCCUCUAGCUCUGUCCCUCAUCCUUUGUGUCACUUCCUACUCCCAGCUCCUGAUCCUCUGUCUAGACCCUGCUGCUUGGUGUCCUUUUCUUGACCUUUCUUUAGAAUCUAGAAGCAUCCUUUCCCCAAAAGGGGGAUCCAGUUAGACUGACCUCUGGCUGCACAUACUAGGGGGACAUUUAACCCUCCGGAGGAGAAAUAAAAGCAGGAGGGAGCCUGA